rnacentral:lncRNA from 1 species
GAACAGUGUUCUUCUUUGGGGUUAGUUUGACUUGAAUAUCAUCUUUACGAGCGUUAAGGGCAUGGGUGUCACCAUCUGCUGCAGCCACGUACAAUUUAGGAUCCAUGAUUGUGAUCUUGGUCAGGCUCCCAUCUUCAGCUGCAGCCAGGUUGGUGAUCUCGAUUUCCCUAGCAUCUUCAGCUGCAGCCUGGUUGGUGAUCUGAAUUUCCCUAGCACCUUCAGCUCCAACCUGAUUCGACUCUGUAUUCAAGUUAAGGCUGGAAGUAGUGGGAUCGGCCAUUGUUGUUGAAUGAGCAGUGGCCUUUCUAUAUUUUGCUCCAAGGAUGGGAAACAAGUUGACCAAUUGUUUAAUGGAGAGGGUGGCUCUUAGCUCAACCUCGGGGAAAUUAAGUGGAUGCUUUUUAUAGCCUAUAGGUGUGUGGGUGUAAUUUGAUAUUCAAAGAUGGAAGUAUAUUCAAAUUCUCCAAUCUUUGUCAUAAAUUAAAACAGUAGAUGGAAGUACAUAUCAAAACACCACAAUUAUUUAAGUACACAUUCUAAGAUAUUUUCGGUAGGUUAUGUUUAUAUUCAAAGAUAUUUUAUACACUAUUGAUGUAAUGGAAAGUUGUUUAUUUGAAUUUUUCUUUUUAUAUGCCGUUCCUUUCAACUUGAGUCCACAUUUCAAGAUAUUUUCUAUAAAUUAUGUUUAUAUUCAAAGAUAUUUUAUGUACAAUUCAUAAUGUGAUAGAAAGUUGUUUAUUUGAUUUUUCAAUUCCUUUUUAUAUGUAGAUAAUGGUAUGUGAGGAAAUUGAAGAAAAAUGCUCUGAGCAUGUACUCCUCCGAGGAUAUCACCAAAAACAUUUGGAGAAGAUCACCAAUGCCAAAAAAAUUAUGAAUACAUAUUUCUCCUUUCCUGGUAUUUUCUUUCUCUUAAUUUUCUAUUUGAUUGGCAUAUUUGGAGGACACCACUAACUAUUAUUUGUUUUUUAAGUCAUAAUUAGUCUAUUUUUCUCUCAUAUUCCAACUAGCUACUUAACUUGAUUUCCAUCCAUUUCUUAGUGAAGAAAAAUGCUUUGAAUAUAUCCUUGUCCAAGGAUAUCACUAAAAAAUGCUCUGAAUUAGUCCAUUACUAAUUAUUAUUUAUUUUUUAAGUAGUAAUUAGUUCAUUUUUCUCUCAUAUUCAAACUAGCUAAUUAACUUUAUUUCCAUCCAUUUCUUAGUGAAAGAAAAAUGUUUUGAACACGUCUUCCUCCAAAUAUAUCACCAAAAGUAUUUUUGGAAAAAUAUCACCAGUGUCAAAAAAAAAAAAUGAAUACAUAGUACAAUGGAUUUAAUGUUAUUUUGUACAAGUAUGAAUUUAUGAAAUUAAAGUCAAGACAACGUAAAAGAUAUUUUGUAGAAGAAAUUUCAAUCAAAAUGGUACGUGUAUGUGUGUUAAAGCCUUACCAACUUUGUUGUGGGAGUUAAAAGCCUUACCAGCUCUCAUUGUAGAAUGGACAAAAAAAUUUCAAAAAGAAAAAAUAGAAUAUGAUACUGUGGUCAAAACCAAAUUAUUUUUAGGUCAAUUAUAAACACAUGUUCUAGACCCAAUGGGUUUGGGCCAAUAAACCCAAUGAGUUCUUUUUACUUAGUUAAAUGAUUGAAUGCAUUAUCAAAUUGAUAUCCCUUUAGGGCUCGUGUUUUUAUUUUUCUAUCUUUUGUUUCUUAUUUAUUUAUUUACUUAUUUUUGUAUCUCUCUAUUUUAAUUUCAACUUUUUCACAAAUUUUAUAGUAUCCAUGUAUGUAACAUUGUAAACUAACAAUUUCACUCUCGGAUCAGAUUGGUAUAUUUGGCAUAUGUCGCCAAGUUUUAGUUUAAUUUUUCUAAAUGAUAAUUGACCAUUUUUCUCUUACAUUUGAAAGCUAAUUAGAAUAUAUUUGACAACUAUUUUUUAGAUUAAUUUUUUAUUCUGUAAAACAAAAAAAAAAAAAAAAAAACCAACAAGGAAAUAUGUUUGACAACUAAAAAACUAUUUUAUAUUUUUAUUCUUUAAAAUAGAAAACAUGAUGUUUUUAAAGAAAAUUUUAUAGUUGUUUUCGUUUGUGUUUUUAAGAACCAUUUUUAUAAAAUAAUUAUACCAAUAUAUAGAAUGAUUAAAAAUAAAGAACUGAAUAUAAAAAUUAAUUUUAAAAUAUAUUUAAAAAAAUAAAAUAAUAGUUUUUUAGAAAUGUUUUUUAAUAUAGUUACCAAAACAGGGUUUCAGCUUUACGCCCCUCCAUGUUGACUCAAUUAUUAAUUAUGUGGCAUUCGAACAUAAGUCAAUGUAUAAUUUUAAUAGGAAAAAGACGGUUAUAUAUAUAUAUAUCAUAACAAACAAAAAGGUGAUAGAUGUGUGUUUUAAAGCAGUUUGUUUCAAGUUAUGUGUAUAUUCAAAGAUAUUUUAUGUAGCUUAUGUUGACAUUUAAGGAUAUUUUAUAUAAUAUUAAUAUAAGGAAAAGUUGUUUGUUUGAUUUUGUUUCUCUUUCUACUAUAGAUCCUACCUAGAUCCUGAUCCUUGUCUUAUUGGGAUCCCAAAGUCUUCUAUACAACACUACGCACUUUUUACCCCCACAGAAACCAUAGUCGCUCCUUUAUCUAGCUAAAUGCUUUUUAUUAAAUAUUUUUAUAAAUGGAAUUAUAUUUCUGACAUUCCACAAUUUCUUCGAUCUCCAAGGAUAGAAGAUGGAAGGAUUAUAAGGAAGAGGAUGUUUAAUUGUAAUUUUUUUAGUAAUAUAUAUAUAUAUUUAAAGAAGUAAUUGGUCCACUUUUAUCUCAUAUUUGGAUUAACUAAUUAACUUGAUUUCCGCCUUAAAGAACCAAUUAGUGUCAAUUUAAGUAUAAAUCAAUAUCAAAUAUUAAUGUUGAUGAAGACUAGGUACCCAAUCAAAGUGGUAGAAGUAUCUUAAGGCCAUAUCACCUUUAUCAAAAUGUAUGUGUUGGCCUACUACCUUACCAUCUUUGUCAAGAUGUAUGUGUUAACCCUACCUACCACCUUUGUGAAGAUGUAUGUAUUAAUAUCCUCGAAACUUUAUCAUACGAACUAAAACAAUAAGUGAAAAUAUAUCAUAACCCAACAAUUGUUUUUUUGACAACAAUUGUUUUUUGGGAGAUGAGUAGUCCUUUUCAACUUAGGUUCACAUUCAAAGAUAUUUUGUAUGGCAUAAAUCUAUAUUCAAAGAUUAUAUAUAUAUUCCAAACAUAAAUCAACUUCAAAUAUUAAUGUUGAUAAAGAUUGGGUAUCACCAUAUCAAAAUGGUAGAAGUAUCUUAAGACCAUACCACCUAUAUCAAGAUGUAUGUGUUAAUAUCCUCAAAGCUUUGUCAUUUGAAUUAAAUCAGGAGGUGGAAGUAUAUCUUAAUAGAACAAUUAUUUUUCUAGAGAUAAGUAGUUCCUUUCAACUUAAGUGCACAUUCAAAGAUAUUUUAUAUAGUAUAUGCCUACAUUAUAUAUAUUUAUAUUCACUCAUAUCUUAUUCUUUUUUUAUCAAAUCCACAUCAACAAUGUCUCUUGUGAAAACAUUGAAAAAAUCGUCAAACCCAUUAAAAAAUCAUUAAAAAAAUUGUGAUAUACUAAUUUGAUAGGAAGAAAUCCCACUAGUUAAUUAUUAUUUUUUUCCUUGAUCAUUUACACUUUCAUAUGAUCCAUCAAAUUCAUCUUCCACAAUUGGUCUACUUCUUAGUUAAUUUUGUUUACCAAUUUUAAUAUGAUCAAAAUCAAUUUUAAAAUUUUAGGUUAUGUUUGGUUUAAAAAAAAAUUGAGAGAAAAUAUAAGGGAAGAAAAAUAUGGAGGAAAAGAAGAAAGAAAGAAAAAUGAAUGAAAAUAAAAUAGAUUUAAAAUUAAUAAAUUAUUUUUAUAUGUUAUUUUAAACUAAAUUCACUUAUUUUAACUCUUCUAUAUAAAAAUUAAAUAAUUUGAAAAUAUAUAAGUUUUAACUAAUUUUAAUUAUAUUUUAAUUUCUUUGAUAUUUUUAAUAGUAUUACAACCAAACAUUAAAAAUAAUCAUUUUUUUUUAACAUUUUUUCCAUAAUACUUUUUGAAGAAUCAAAUAUAACCUUAAUGUUAAAAUUGAAUAGAAUAUAAUUAUUUUGUAUCUGUAAAAACUUGCUACUUUGACAAACUAGAGAUAAUUUUUAUCUUAUCAACAAUUGUGAAGUUGAGUAAAUUUAAAGCUAAAUCAAUUUCCCAAACAUCAACAAAUAAAAACAAAAUUAAAUAGUCAAAUAUCGUAUUUUUCUAGAGUUGGAAGUACAUAUAAACACCGCAAUUGUUUUUCUAGAGGUAAGUAGUCCCUUUCAAUUAAGUCUAAUUUCAAAGAUAUUUUCUAUAACUCUACAUUUCACAUUCUAUAUAUUUUGUGAGCAAUUCCCUUCAAGCUUUUGUCCAUGAUUUAAAGAUAUUUUAUGUAGAGCAUACGUGGAAGGGCUUUUGCCCAUGAUUGAAAGAUAUUUUAUGUAGAGCAUAUGUGGAAGGGAAAGUUGUUUGCACAUAUAUAUAUUUUUCUCUUUCUUUCUUGUGAAGUUUUUCUGUCUUUUUAGACAUCUCCCAUUUUUAUUUACUUGAUGAGAUUUUUAUCCUAUCACACUCCGGCCUCAAUAAUUUGGCUACAUUAAACCCAUUAACACCAUUUUAUUAUUUAUUUUUCUAAAUUGUAAUGCUUCAUAUUUCUCUCAUAUUUGAACCAACCAUCCAGCUUCGUUUCACGCUCAUUCCUUGAUUCACCCAUUUGAUAAGUGACUGUCAAUCAUAAAUCAAUAUAGAGAUGAGUCGUUGCUUUCAAAUCAUGUCUAUAUUUUUUAGAUUUUUUUUGUAACUUAAGUCCACAUUCAAAGAUAUUUUACGUCAAACAUGGGUGUAGAGGAAAGUUACUCAAAUACCAUAUUCUCUUUCCUUCUAUGGAUAAGAUAAUGCUUGGUUCUAAUUUCAUAUGUAGUAUAAUUUUAAUUCUUAAUUUUAAGAAAAUUAUAAAAAUAAAAAUAAAUAGUAAAUAAAAGAUUCAUUCCCAAAUUUGUUUAAAGUCAUUUUAAAUCUCACAACUCAUUCUCAUUAUAUUUGUAAGGCAAUCAAGCAACUUGCUGUCUCACAUGUAAAGAUUAAAAUGUGGUCAAAACUCAUCAAAAGAAUCAUUAAAUGUUUUUCUACUUAUUGUUAUAUAAUCAUCAUUAUAUUCUUGUGUAUUUUUUUUUUAAAUAAAACUAGUUUUAAGAAAAAUAUUAAGUAUUUUUAAAAGCUAAAAUUCAAUUGAAAAUUUAUUUAUACGUUCUACUUUUGAAAAUAGUGAAAACCAAAGCAUAUUUAAAUGCAUUUUUUCCCUCUUUUAUUUCUUUUGUGCACAUCUGGACUUUUCACAAGAAAAUGGACAAAGUAGCUUUGGGAAUAAAAAAUAGAAAAUGUUUAUGGUAUCAAAACCUAGUUAUGUUUUAUUAUAGAAGGAAGAAAAAAAAUGAAUGAAUUAUAUAUAUCUAUAUAUAGUAAGGAUCAAUGUGAGGUAAAAUCCCAAGAAUAUUAUCAAAAAUAUUUUGGUAAAUUAUUAUUAUUAUUAUUUUGGUAAUAUAUAUAUAUUCUUAAGAAGUAAUUGGUCCACUUUUCUCUCAUAUUUGGAUUAACUAAUUAACUUGAUUUCCGCCUUAAAGAACCAAUUAGUGUCAUUUCAAAUAUAAAUCAAUAUCAAAUAUCAAUGUUGAUGAAGAGUGGGUACCAUAUCAAAGUGGUAGAAGUAUCUUAAGGCCCUAUCACCUUUGUCAAGAUGUAUGUGUUGGCCCUACCACCUUAUCACCUUUGUCAAGAUGUAUGUGUUGACCCUACCACCUUUGUGAAGAUGUAUGUAUUAAAAUCCUUGAAGUUUUAUCAUACAAACUAAAACAAUAAGUGGAAAUAUAUCAUAACCCAACAAUUGUUUUUUAGGAGAUGAGUAGUCCUUUUCAACUUAGCUUCACAUUCAAAGAUAUUUUGUUUAGCAUAAAUCUAUAUUCAAAGAUUAUAUAUCUAUAUAUAUAUAUAUAUAUAUAUAUAUUCCAAACAUAAAUCAAUCUCAAAUAUUAAUAUUGAUAAAGAUUGGGUAUCUACCAUAUCAAAAUGGUAGAAGUAUCUUAAGGUCAUACCACCUAUAUCAAGAUGAAUGUGUUAAUAUCCUCAAAGCUUUGUCAUUUGAAUUAAAUCAGAAGGUGAAGUAUAUCUUAACAGAACAAUUAUUUUUCUAAAGAUGAGUAGUCCCUUUCAACUUAAGUUCACAUUCAAAGAUAUUUUAUAUUGUAUAUGCCUAUAUUAUAUAUAUUUAUAUCCACUCAUAUCUUAUUCUUUUUUCUUUUUUUUAUCAAAUCCACAUCAACAAUGUCUCUUGUGCAAACAUUGAAAAAAUCGUCAAACCCAUUAAAAAAUCAUUAAAUUUUUUUACUAAUUUUGAUAUACUAAUUUAAUUUGAUAGGAAGAAAUCCUAGUAGUUAAUUAUGUUUUUAUUCCUUGAUCAUUUACACUUUCGUAUGAUCCAUCAAAUUCAUCUUCCACAAUUGGUCUACUUCUUAGUUAAUUUUGUUUACGAAUUUUAAUAUGAUCAAAAUUAAUUUUAAAAUCUUAGGUUAUGUUUGGUUUAAAAAAAUUGAGAGAAAAUAUAAGGGAAGAAAAAUAAAGAGGAAAAGAGGAAGGAAAGAAAAAUGAAUGAAAAUAAAAUAGAUUUAAAAUUAAUAAAUUAUUUUUAUAUGUUAUUUUAUUUUAUUUAUUUUUUUAAAAAGAAAACAAAAUAAAAUAAAACAUGUGUAACUCCUUAUUUGGAAAAAUAAAAUAAUAAAAUAAGUGUAUGGAUUAAGAAUGAGUUUUGAGGGUCAAGUUCCCUAUAGGGUAAGCCUUAGCAUACCUCCAAACCCAUUUGUUUACAAUCUCUAAUAAACAAUAAGAGAUACUUUAACAUUUAAUUAGUCAAUCAACGGAUAGAAAAGAAAUUAAGAAACUUGAUGCCUCACGUACAAAGAUUAGAAAGUGGUUGGAACCACUCAUGAGAAAAUCAUUAAAUUUUUUCCUUUUUAUUAAUGUAUAAUCAUCAAUAUAUUUUUCUACUUUCAAAAACAAAAAUAAAACUAGAAUUAAGGAAGAUAUUAAUUUUUUUUAAAGGAAGAUAUUCAAUAUUUGUUUAAAGUUAAAAAAAUGUAAUUAAAAUUUUAUUUAUAUGUUCUAUUUUUAAAAAUAGUAUAAACAAAUGUAUGAAUACAUAUUUCUUCUCAUUUUUCCGUUUUGGUAUUUUCUUUCUCUUUUUUAUUUGAUUGGUCUAUUCAAUGGAUUUCAUUGAUUAUUAUUGAUUUCUUAAGUAGUAAUUGAUCCAUUUUUAUCUCAUAUUUGGAUUAGCUAAUUAACAUGAUUUCCAUGGUAAGGUCCCAACUAGUGACAUUUCAAAUAUAAAUCAAUAUCAAAUAUUAAUGUUGAUAAAGACUGUGUAUCUACCAUAUCAAAGUGGUAGAAAUACCUUAAAAUCCAAAUAACCUUUGUCAAGAUAUAUAUAUAUAUAUAUAUAUAUAUAUCUAUGUGCGUGUGUGUGUGUGUUGGUCCUAGCACCUUUGUUGAGAUGUAUGUGUUAAUAUUCUUGAAACUUUAUCAUAUGAAUUAAACAACAAAUGGAAAUAUAUCAUAAUACAACAAUUGUUUUUAUGGAGAUGAGUAGUCCAUUUCAACUUAGGUUCACAAUCAUAGAUAUUUCCGUAUAAUUUAUGUCUAUAUUCAAAGAUAUUUAAUGUACAAUAUUGGUUCUAAUUUUUUUGGUAAUACAUAUAUAUAUAUUGAGAAGUAAUUGGUCCACUUUUCUCUCGUAUGUGGAUUAACUAAUUAACUUGAUUUCCACCUUAAAGAACCAAUUAGUGUCAUUUCAAAUAUAAAUCAAUAUCAAAUAUUAAUGUUGAUGAAGACUGGGUACCAAAUCAAAGCAGUAGAAGUAUCUUAAGGCCCUAUCACCUUUGUCAAAAUGUAUGUGUUGGCCCUACCACCUUACCACCUUUGUCAAGAUGUAUGUGUUAACCCUACCACCUUUGUGAAGAUGUAUGUUUUAAUAUCCUCGAAACUUUAUCAUAGGAACUAAAACAAUAAGUGGAAAUAUAUCAUAACCCAACAAUUGUUUUUUUUUUUUUUUUUUUUGACAACAAUCACUGUAGAUCUUAAGCUUAGAGACGGAUAGUGCGAGUGCGAGGUCCAAUCUAGAUAGAGUGGCUUUGUACUCGGCUUCGUUGUUUGAUGCGAGGAAUCCGAGUUAGAUGGCCUGCUCUCACCAGUUGGAGAUUGUAGUAGCAAUCCCACUCUGGAUCCUGACGACUAAGAGGCUCCAUUGACUUGUAAGGUCCAUCACUCCGUCUUGUCCGAUUCUCAGUCUCGAGAGGGUUGUUGGGGAGACUCCACCACAAAGUCAACCAUGACUUGCCCUUUCAUGGACAGCCUAGGCUAAUAUUCGAUCCCAUACUCGCUCAACUCUAUGGCCCAUUGCAGCAUUCUUUCGGACUUAUUCGGUUUGUGUAGGGUGCUUCGCAAGGGCUAGUCGGUAAGCACGACUAUUGGGUGAGCUUGAAAAUAUGGGUGGAGCUUCUGGGCGGCACUCCGCAAGGCUAAGGCAAUUUUUUCUAUCUUUGAAUAUCUUGUUUCUGCAUCGGCCAUUGCUCUGGUGAUAUAAUAAACAGGCUUCUGCUCCUUGUGUGAUGGACAACGAAACAAGACGACGCUAACCACUCAAUCCAAUACUGCUAAAUACAUGUACAACCAUUCGGCAGGCUGAAGGCUGCUCAAGAUGGGUGGUUGUGUGAGGUACUAUUUGAUUUUCUUGAACACGCCUUGGUAGUUAUCCGUCCAUCCAGUCGCGUCGGCUUUCCUUAGCACCAGGAAGAAAAGUUGUAGUUUGUCUGUGAAUCGGGCUAUGAAACGUCCUAGUGCGAUGAGUUUGCUAGUGAGGCGUUGCAACUCCUUUUUGUUUUUGGGGGCGGGUGCCUCCAUGACUGCUUUAAUUUGAUUCGGGCUGACUUCUAUUCCUCUUUAAGUGACCAUGAAUCCCAGGAAUUUUCCCGUGCUUACACCAAAGGCGCAUUUGGAUGGGUUAAGUUUCAUGUCGUAUCUCCUCAGUAAGUGGAAGACUUUUUGCAGGUGGUGGGUAUGAUCUUCUCUAGUUUUUUUUUUUUACCACUAUGUCAUCAAUGUAUACCUCCACUGUGCGACCAAUCAAGGGCUUGAAGAUCUUUGUCAUUCGUCUUUGAUAGGUGGCGCCAACGUUUUUGAGUCCGAACGACAUGACCUUGUAACAAUAAAGUCCAUGCGACGUUAUAAAGGCAGUUUUUUCUUCGUUCGCGAGGGCCAUGGGAUCUGAUGGUAUCCGGAGAAGGCGUCUAGAAAGGAGAGCAUCCCUUGCCCGGUAGUGGAGUCCAUAAUUUGGUCUAUCCGUGGCAACGGGAAGCUAUCUUUUGGGCAUGCAUUGUUGAGGUUGGUGUAAUCAAUGCACACUCGCCACUUCCCUUCCUUUUUGAGGACUACCACCACAAUUGCCAACCAUUCCGAGUGCUCAACUUCCCUGAUGAACCCAACAUUCAAUAACUUAUCCACCUCAUCUUGAAUAAUCUUCUGUCUAUCCGGAUGAAAUCGUCUAACCUUUUGUUGAACAGGUCUUGACGAGGGCAAGAUGUUAAGUCGAUGGGAGGCAACUGAUGGGUGGAUCCCAAGCAUAUCGAAGUGGGUCCAUGUGAAAACGUCUUGGUUUUGUCAAAGCAUCUCCUUGAUGUUCUGAGUCUCUUCGAGUUCCAAGAGGGAACUAAUAUAGGUGAGACGACCAUUCUUCUCCGAGAUUUGGAUGGUUUGCAAGGGAUCUACCACCGGGGGAUCUUUAUCCGUCGGGUACUGUAAUUGCUAUUGGUCGGGUGCAUUCGCUUGCUCAGGGAGCAACUCGCGAUCGUUACUAGGUCCGGCCUCUCGUGCUAUUUGAUAGCACUGACGGGCUGCUAACUAGCUACCAUAUAAAUCAAUCUGCCUGUCUUCGGUCAGGAAGCUCACCAUCUGAUGGUACGUGGAAGGGAUGACCUUCAUGUAGUGAAACCAGGUGCACCCCAAAAUGGCGUUGAAGGAGGAUAGAUCUUCCACUAUUGAGAAUUGUACGUUGAGGAUGACUAAGCCUGCUUGGAUCGAUGACACAACGUUUCCAAGAGAGGUUGUUGCAGUUCCAUUGAAUCCUGACAAAAUCCGUCCCGGGGUCUCUAGGCUAAAGGGCACGAUUCCCAUUUGUUUGAUUACUAAUACUUGCAAGAGCUCGAUGGAGAUGCCUAGGUCGACCAAGAUCCGCCUUACGUCGAAGUCUCCAAUCCCAAGAGACAGGAUAAGGGUGUCUUGGAGUGGUUGCAAUAUUCGUAUGGGGUCUACUAGAGGAAAAAUGAUUGUCCCAUCUAUUGGACGGGCGUUCCUGCUAGUUAAUCCGGGCCGGAUGGAGUUGAUACGUUCGCGUACCGAAGCGGCCUACAGCAGCCUUUGCCUCUUUCUCUUGGAGUCGUACUCUUCAUCCAAGGGUCCACCAUGAAUGUAGUUAAUUAUGGCCCUAGGGGCGAUCGGAGCUGAGGUGACUCCGGAGGCUUGACUCCGAGAAGUCUCCUCCCUUGGCUUUUGAGCGAACGUACUGCUUUAGGUGUCCUGCUCUUAUAAGCUUUUCUACCAAGUAAUGGAGACUCCUACACUGUUCCGUAGUAUGUUCAUGCUCUUUAUGAUAAGCACAUUUCCUGUUAUAAUCUCUCUUGGUUGGGUCCGCUUUGAGGGGUUCAUGUCACCUAAAGUCGGACAGCUCGCAGAUCAUUGGAAGAAGCUUCUCAUAUGAUAUGGUAAGGGGUGUAAGCAGUGGCAGCUUUGACUGACUUUGUUCACCUUGUCUACAGCCGGGUGGCCUCUGCUAGUUCGGAGGUUUGGAACUUCUUGCCACGUCAUUCCUGGUCGGCUGUCCGGUAACCAGGAUUUGUUGGAUGGCUGCGCAUACAGCAUCUUCCAGCAUUGAGUAUUUGUUCGCGCGCCGGAACAAGUCAUCCAUAGUUGUGGGAGGUUUUUUAGUGAGUGAUUCCAAGAAUGGUGUGCCCGGACAUAUGCUCCGCUUAAAAAUUUGGAGGACAACAUCCAUGCUAUAGGAUUCUAGUUGUAGUGCAACUUGACCAAAUCGUUUCACGAACUCCCUCAGGGAUUCAUUUUCCUGUAUUUUUAUGUUUUGCAGGGUGCUAAUAUUCUAUUUAUGUCAUGCGGAACACAGGUAUUGUCCCACAAAGGCUUCUGAUAGAUCCUAGAAGUUAUUAAUAGAAUUCACAAGGAGUCGAUGAAACCAUGAGAGAGGCUGGUGGGGAACACCUUGCACAACAUUGCGGCAUUCCCUAUGUCGAGUGUCAUGAGUUGUUGGUAGUGCAUGAUGUCGUCAAACGGAUCGCUAGACCCGUCAUACGUAGAAAAUUUUGGCAUGAGAAACCCUCUUAGGGGCUCGUAAUUGAUAAUACGCGAGCUAAAAGGUGUGGAGAGCAUGUCAUCCAAUUGCCUAUUGAUGGAGCCCGAGGGGGCUCAUUUGCUGAAUUUCCUCCGACUUGUCAUAGUGCUUGGUGUGGGGGAUUGCCCUGUGUGAUGGGUGCGACCGCGGGACUAGGAUACGUCUCCCGGGUCGCGGCUGUAGGUGGCCUAUCCUUACCAGGUGCUUGUGGUCCCAACCUCACACGCAUUGUGUCAGAUAACUGUGGUCUCUUGUCGCGUUGUCUCUUUGACGAGACACAAGUGGAGUCCGAGCUUUCAUCAUAUGGAGCGUGAUAUGUAGGUAAGGGUCGUUCACUAGGCCGUUCAUCGCGCAUAUCAAGAGCGAUCUCGAUGACUUCAAGAUACAUUGUCUCCUGGUUAUGCUUAGAGUUUGUCCCUUGGCCUCUCGGUCGCUGGUCGUGAGGAGGUCCCGAGGAUGAAACCUGGAUUCUUAACACAUCGUUUUCUUCCUUAAGCCUCCUUGUUUCUUGGAGUAGGGCCUGCACUUGCCGCUCACUUUCCAGCUUUCGUUUUUCCAUACUUUCGCGCCAGUCAAAAUAACCCUCAUCACCCAUGGCUGAUGAACAACUUCUAGAAGGUGUGGACAUCUUCGUAAAUGUUGUUUCCCACAGACGAUGCCAAUUGAUGCCGAGAGGACCCAGAGUCACUGUAGCUCCCUAAAGUACUUGCCUCCUCAACUGAGAGCGAUGCUUCCUUCCUUUGCCCUGCAAAAGAUGUCCAGAUAGGUGGUCCGGACACACCUUCCAAAGCUUUUGUUAGUUUGGCGGUCAAACAUAUUGAUAUUUUUGGGCCCUUUUUUUAGGAAUGCUUACCCUCUCUUGACUGGGUCGUCGGGGGCCUUUUAUAGUGUCUAGAGCCCCGUCACUUUGAAUGUGGGAAGGCUCUUUGACUUUUACAGUCAUGAUGGUGCUCAAAGGGUGGCAGAGCCGUAUUAUCCUGCAGGCGGCUAACAGAAAUUGUUUGGGGGGGGGGGGGGGGGGGGGGGGAGGGGGAAUUUUUCCCCCCCCCAUUUUUUUUCCCCCAAAGGGGGGAAAGGGGGGGGGGAAACAAGUCCCCCGAAAAAANNNNNNNNNNNNNNNNNNNNNNNNNNNNNNNNNNNNNNNNNNNNNNNNNNNNNNNGAGAUGACAACUGUCGAGUUCGGACUAGACGUCCGAAUAGAGGGUGGGACGUGCCAUGUGUCCACCGGAGGAGUGCCUUGUGAGCCCAGGGUGGCCUACCACAUGUACGUUUAAGGGUCGUCCCUACAGUAAGAACAUAGGUAGAAAACGGUACUUACAUAUAGUUUUGGAAAAUAAAAGAAAAAAUGAUAAGGAGUUUCAAAUUCAUUUAUUUAAUUUAGAGUAUAUUGAAAAAAUCAUUUUUUUAUAUUUUUGCUGGCAUAUCAAUUUAGUCCCUAAAUAUUUUUAAAACAAUAUUACCCUUAAUCAAUGCUCAAAUGUCAAAUGAUCUCUUUUAUUGAAAAUUUUCAUCAAAACUUUACAUAAAACUCCCUCAUAAAAUAUACAUUAGCAUGAAAUUUUAUAUGAUAUAUUGGGAUCUGUCCAAGUUUUUCGUGCUUAGUCAUAUGUGUUUUUCCAUCUAGAUUUUAUUUUAUUUUAUUUUUAAAAAAAAAAUUCUUGUUCAAUUAAACUAAGUCAGAGCUAAUAUUGUGAGAGGUUGGACUAAACUUCUCACCGAAAAAAAAAAAAUUAAAAGUAAGUGAGUUUCUAGAUAUUGAAUCUGAAAUUAGUUAUACGAACAGAUCAAUCGAAAAAAAAAUGCUGAAGUAAAAAAAGUAAAAAGUCUUAACUUGGCAGUUGGAUUGAUGGUGAUAGGGCCUUUUUAAGGCUGCAAUGGAGAGGUUGUUGUCCAGUGGCCUUUAUUAACUCACAUCAUGGUUGUAAGGUAUUCCUUUUGUGACGCAUACGAUAUUUAGAGAUUUUUUUUGGCCUAUUUUCCUCUUUUUUUUUUCUUUGGAUGGGUGGUGGGGUAGAUUUUUUUGUUCCUCUUUUUUUCUUUCUUUUUAUUUUUUGCUUAUCGAUGAGGGAAAGAAAAAACAAUUUUAUGAAAAACUAGUCUAAAUCAAAGGGUUAAGUUCCUUAUUAGAAAUGUACUUCAAAAUAACAUAUCUUUUAGCCCUAAAAAAAAUCUUUGUUAAACAAGUAUUGAAGAUAAUCACAACAACUGAUUAAUUAAUCAUGAAUACAAAAAAAGUAUGAUAAACUUAUAUACAACAAAAAUUGGAUUGAUGGUGACAAGGCCUUUUUGUGGUUGCAAUAGAGAGGUUGUCCUUGAGCAAUUGUUGUCCACGGACCUUUAUUAACUCGCAAGGUAUUCCUUUUGUGACCCAUAUAUGGGUGGUGGGGUAGAUUUGUAUUUUUUUCCCCCUUAUUUUUCUUUCUUUUUCUUAUUUUUUUCUUUAUCUUUUCUAUUCAUUGACGAGGGAAAGGAAAAAAAGUAUGUGAAAAAUCAAUCUAAAUCCAAGGGUUAAGUUAUUUAUUAGAAAUGUACUUCAGAAUAGCAUAUCUUUAAGUUCUAAUUUUUUUUUUUUAGUAACCAAGUGGAGAAAAUUAUAACAAUUGAUUAAUUAAUCACAGAUAUCAAGAAAAGUAUGAUAAACCUAUAUAGAACAAUACAAAAAGGAAAAUAAGAUACAAUAAUAUACAACAUUGGUAAAGGAAAUACAUAAAUUAAUUUAUUAAAAUAUUUAGAUAAAUGAUUUGAUUAUUUCUAAAUAUUACAAGAUUUCUAAGAAAUUUUAAAAGAAUUUGACUCGCAUUAAAAACAAUUUCAAGUUAAUGAUAUCAAAAUUAUUUAUUCACAAAAAUUCAAUUUGUUCACAAAAGAUUUGAUUUUUAUUUUCGUUCAAAUUUAUUUCCAAAAUGAGUUUUGCUUGUUUUUGUUAAAAGAAUUUAUUGAACACAAUUUUAUAUAUCUAUAUAUAUAAAGAAUGUUUAAAUUUUAUCUAAUUUAUAAGAAUUUUUUUUUCUUUUUCUAAAAAAAUUACAAAUUUAUUUUUGAGAAAUAUUUUGAUUCAAUUUUUAUCAAGAAAAAUGAUUUUCUAUUUUUUUUAAAUAUUUGCAAAUUUAUUUAUAGAAAGGGAUUUCAACCUAAUUUUAUUAAAAGAAUUUCUACAACUUCUAUAUUUUAGAAAUUAUUCCCAAUCCAAUUUUAUUAAAAAAAUUAUAUUUAGGAAAUGAUUUUACAUCUGUAAUUGAAAAAGUAAUUUUGCAAUUUUUAUUUUAAAAAAGGAAUUUAUAGUUUUUUAUUUGAAAAACUGAUUUUGAAAAUUUUUUAUUUAGAGAAGUGAUCUUUUAUUUGAAAAUUUUCAAAUGAAAUAUUCCAUAGUUUUUACUUGAAAAAAUAAAAUAAAAUAACAAUUUUUAUUUAAAAAGAAUCCUAACAAGUUUUAUUUGAAGAAAUAUUCUAGAGUUUUUAUUAAAAAAAUAUUUUGUAAUUUUAUUUAAAAAAAAAAGGUGUUGAUAAAAUCAACAAAAGAGAUAAAAUGUGGACAUGUUGUGCAUUAUUAAGUUUUCGGUCCAAGCCACCUAACUUUCACUUAAAUGGGCUUCGGCCCCUUGUGCGCACAAGGCUCCCCACACCUCUGCUAAGGGGGGAGGGUUAGUAUAUAAAACACCAUUAAAGUACCCAUCACUUUCCACGGUGGGAAUCUUUUAUUUAUUUUUUAUUUUUUUCACAUUAAAACAAGGGUCUCCAAAAAGCCUGCGGCCUGCGGCCCGGCCUAGCGGGCUAAAGCCCGGCUCGAGCCCAGCAGGCCCGAGCCCAUUUCUGGAUGAGCCAGGCCAUGGGCUCCAAUUUAGGCCCGGCGGGCUGGCCCGCCACUUAAAAAAAAAUAUAUAUAUAUAUAUAUAUAUAUAUAUAUAUAUAUAUAUAUAUAUAUAUAUAUAAAUAUUCAAGAAAUAGAAAAUGCUACAUUAAUAAAAAUAUUCAUUGCUAACUAUUUUAUUCAUUGAAUGUAUACGUUACAUUUGAAAAUGUGGGAAAAGUUUGCAUCACUACAAAAUAAAUACAUCCCAACUAGGUUGACACCUACUUAUUUGUCAAUCAUUUGUAUUUUUCAACCACAAAAAUAAAAAUAAAAAUAUAACAUACAUUUAGUAAAAUAUUUUAAUCAUUAUCUCUUGGCGGUGAUGGCGAACUAUCGCAAAUCCAUGAAGAUCUUGAUGAUUUUAGUUUUUCCAUAUCGACAAGCAUAUUUUCUUCUUAAAUAGAAUCAAAUAUCAUUUUAUCUGCUAUUGCCCAGUCUUUCACACAUAUAUUUGCUUCAAUAGAAUCCGGCGCUAAGCUGCAUCGUUUAUCACUAACUACUCUUCCACCUGCACUAAAAGCAGCUUCUAAUGCAACUGUACUCACAGGAACUGUUAGUACAUCACGAGCAAUGAUAGAAAGCACAGGAUAUUUGUGUUGUUGUGAUUUCCACCAUAUUAAAAUAUCAAAAUUUUCAUCAUCUUCAAAUGAAAUUAAAUCAAUAUUAAGAUAUCUAUCUAAAUCAAUUGUGUUGUUUGGAGAACUAUUUGUUGUCUUCUUUCGACUUUUUAACAUUUCUAGAGCUCCUUUAUAAAAAGAUGAAGAACUUGUAGAUGUAGGUGGUAAUUUAAUGAAACUAAUAUCAUCACCAUAUUUUUCUUUAUAAUAGUUAUAUAAAUUAUAUAAUAAUGAAUUUAUUUCAUUUUUAAUUUCUUCAAUUUUUAUUUGGUCAUUAAAAUAAAUAAUUGUUAACCAUUCAUCCAAAGCUUCAAAUUUCAAUCUAGGGUCCACAAUUAAACCAAGAUAAAAAAUUAAAGGUAUUUCUCCCCAAUAUUUUCUAAAUUUUUCUAUCAUUGCAAAUAUUGCAUCAUUAAAUAUAUCCAAAUUUAAAUAUUUUUGAAAUACAAUAAAAAUAUUAGUUAUUUGCAUGACAACUCGGUUUGAAGAUGGAUAAUAUACACCACAAAUUUUUUUUUGUUGAAGUAUCAAAUACUUCAAAAAGAUCUCUUAAAAGAUCUGCAAUAUGCCAAUCAUAAUCAUUUAAUACAUCAAUAUCUGCUUCACAAUCAUUGUUAAUUAAUUGUUUUUCAUAUAGUUCUACUACUUUUCUAUAUUUUGUAAUAGUUUGUAAAAGUUUAUAAGUGGAAUUCCAUCUAGUGGGCAUAUCCAAAUUUAUAUUUCUUUUUUUCAUAUUUAACAUUUUGCAACAAUAAAAAAAUAAUUCAUGUUUUGCUUGAGAACUAUUAAGACCCGCAACAAUGCCUCUAAUUUUUUAUAUUGUAUCAUCAAUGUGUUUUAAUCCAUCUUUUACAAUUAAAUUUAAAAUAUGUGCACAACAAUGCAUAUGAAAUAUUUUACAUUGAUCUUCUUUUAUUUGUCAAUAUCGUUUUAAUCUAGAUACUGCUGCAUCAUUAUUAGAAGUAUUAUCUAAUGUUAUUGUAAAUAUUUUAUCACGAAUGCCAAAAUCUAUAAUUUCAUCAUUUAUUAAAGAUGCUAUAUUUUUACCAUUAUGUGGAGCAUUUAUUAUUUUAAAUGAAAUAAUUCUUUUAUUUAAUUUCCAUUCAUUAUCAAUAUAAUGAGCAGUUAUACAUAAAAAACCACUAUGAGUUAAAGAUGUCCAAAUAUCAGAUGUUAAACAAAUUCUUCCUUCAAAAUUUGCAAAAAAAAAUUUUAAAAUUUCUUUUUGUGUUUCAAAAUUUUUUAUAAGAAUUCUUUUAACUGUAUUUCCAGAGCAACCUUGAAACUGAGGAUUAACAGCUUGUUGCAUUGUUCCCGUAAAAUCAUGAGUUUCCAUGAAAUUGAAAGAUUGUUAUGCUCUUAUUAUAUAACCAAUCAUUUCUUCACGACAAUAAGAUUCAUCAUAACAAAAUGUUUUUAAAUUUCCACUUUCAUCUUUACCUAAUUGCAUAUAAUUUCUAAUAUCUACAUUAUUUUUAGUUUUACAAUUUUCAUGAUGCCUUUUUAAAUGACUUGUACCUGCAUUUGAGCCACCACUAAGAAGUUUGUUACAAAUUUUACAUUUUACAUUUUGCUUUUAUUUCUUUUUUAUUAUUUUCUAAAUUUAUUUCUAUUCUAUAAAAAAAAUUCCAUAUAUUUGAAGUAAAUUUUUUGCUAUCACAUGCAUUAGAUGAAGAACAAGAACCACUUGCCAUAAUUAUAAUUAUUGAUAAAAUAUUAUGCUAAAAAUAAUAAAUGUAAAAUUAAAAUGUAACAAAUAAAUAAAAGUAAAGGUGAAGUAUGUUACUAAAUUGGAGAACCGAAGCAGAAAUUCCUUCAAAUUUGAACUCUUUGAACCACCAAUGCUUGUUUUUCACCACUAAUAAUAUUGAAUAAUUUGAGACAAAAUGCAAUAAUCGGAAAUAUUGUGGAAUGGGAAAGAGCUUAAGAGUUGAGAGAAUAGAAAAAAAUUGAGGGUAUUUAAUAUUUAUAGGGAUUUAAAUAUUAGGAUUUAAUUUUUUUUUAUUUUAUAAUCAAGACUGUUCAACGGUCAUAAUAUUGAAUUGAGUGGCAAGCAUGUUCAACGGUCAUGUGACCGUUGAACAGCCAGUUCACUUUUAUUUUUUUUCAAAAAUCAUACAACAUUUCUAAUAUAUAUAUAACUAAUGCAAAAUAGUUACACAAAAGAGGGCUAGCUCAGUUGGUGGCUAGCUCCCUUGUGGAUCCAUAAGGGAAGGGGUUCGAAUCCUCUUUCCUUCCCGGCCCGGCCCGUUGACCAGUCAACGGGCUCAAUGGCCCGCCCCGUUGACCAGUCAACGGGCUCAGUGGCCCACCCCGGGCUAGGCCAUGGGCCUUACUCCUCCGGGCCGGGCAGCCCGGCCCGGCCCGUUGGAGACCCUUACAUUAAAACACCCACACACACAAGCACUCUACCAACCAUUACUGGGCAGAUUUUUUUGGAUACCUACCUUAUAUAGGAUGGAUUUGAGAUAAACUUAAACAAGUCUAGCAAAUUUCAAUAAAAUUCUUAAAACCUGAGAUUGGUCUGAGACGGAUUCAAAUUUGACUAUAUCCUACCUUGAUAAUUGUUGUAGUAUGUGAUUCAUAUUUGAGUGAAAAGACAUAUGAAGAAAAAUAGGCAAAAUGUCCGAGCAAAACAGAGUGGAACAUAGUGAAUAUCCUAUUUCCCUGUUCCUGUGGACAUAGACAAUUAAUCGAACCACAUUAAAUCUCUGUGUUUUUCUUUCUCGUUUUUUUUUCUAUUUUUUUCAUCAUUAAUCAUUGCACGGAUUCCAAUAAUAAUAUAAUACAAAAUAAAAAAUUAUUUUAAUUGAUUUUUUUUACAAUUUAAAAUUUUUAAAGUUAAAAAAAAUAAAAAUAUGUAAAAAUAUGAUAAAAUAAAAAAGUUAAAUGGAGCUGGGUGGGGUGAGGCAAAUAUAAGAAUUUCCUACACCUGUCCCAUCCCUAGGAAUGGCAACGGGGCGGGUUCGGGACGGGUCGCCCCCAUCCCAACCCCGCCCCGUUUAUUUAAAAUAAUUCCCAUCCCCGUCCCAUUUAAAAAAUUAAACGGGGCGGGGUAGGGCGGGUAUGAUAAAUUCCCAUACCCGUCCCGCCCCGAGCAGUCGUGAAGUUGGUCAGGCCCAGGUGGUAACGCAACUCAUCCUCAGAGGCAGCGUAGGGUAUGUCUAUCUUGUUUCCCAGAAUGAGAAAUGGAACAUAUGCCAGUGACUCAUCAGAAAGGAGGGCAUCCAACUCCCUCUUUGACUCGGCAAAUCUUUCCUUGUCAUACGCAUCAACCAGGUACACCACAACAUCCACCUUGGCAUAAUAAUCCUUCCAGACUCUUCGAGCGAUCUGAUGCCCACCCAAAUCAAAGGCUUUAAACUUAAUUUUCCCAAUUCUCAAUUCCUCGGACGUUGGGUGUUGCGUUGGUUGAUGCUGAACUAAUCUCUCAUCCUUCAACAUAUGAAGCAACGUCGUUUUUCCCGCAUUAUCAAGCCCUAAAAAUAAGAUCUUUGCCUCUUUUUACCAUAGCCCCAAAGAUGCGAGAAGUCCAUAGAACCAAUCGAAAAGAAUCAUGGUGUUCCGACAAGAUUCGCGACUCAAAACGCGGCCAAUUCACCGGAACUAAGCCGAAAACCACAAACUUAUCAACGAACUUGUCGGAAAAUCCCACUGGAGGUAGAGAUUCAUAUAUUCAUAUAUUAUAAACAGGGCGGGACGGGGCGGGAUGGGGCGAUACCCGAACCCGCCCCAAACCCGUCCCGGGUUUUAAAAAAAAAUUCCAACCCCGUCCCAAACCCGUUUCUAAAAUUUGAACCCCGUCCCAAUAGGGACGGGGCGGGGCGGGUACCCGAAAAAACCCGCCCCAUUGCCAUUCCUACCCAUCCCUCCCCAUUUAAAUAAAAAAAUAAAAAGGUUAUUUUUUUUCUUUUUAUGAAGAUGAAAAUAAAUAUAAAUAAAUGCAUGAGGUUAGGAUGGAGUGGCCAUCCGAACUCAUUUUGUUGUCGUCCCAAAGCAAGAGCCUCAUUUUAUUUGUUUUUAAUUUAUUUGUCAACAAGAAUGCAGAGGUACAUCUUUCUUUUUUUUUUCAAGGGCCGUAAAGGAUGCAACUAUGGGGAGUUGUAGUCUGCUCCAGGACCUCGAAGAAGUUGCAAGACUGGAUCACUUUCUGAUACAAGCUCUCCAAUGGUAGCCAAGUUAUCAGUGAGCAUCUUCAACUUGAGUAUGUAUUCCAUCAUGGAGAGGGAACCUUUCCGAGUUAUCUGAAAUGCUAGCCGAAGCUGCAUUACUUGUGCUAUUGAAGAUACGGAGAAGAUCUUCUCUAGAGCCAUCCAUGCUGUGUGAGAAGUCUGAUAUCCAAUUAUUUGUCCCAUAAUUUCGAGAGUAAGGAAAGAGGAGAUCCAACUCAGGACCAUGCGUACCAAAACAUCACCAACCAAGGAAUUCUGAAUUAUUUUCAUCAAUGGUAUUCAUCUUAGGAAGACGGAUUUUCAGUCCUUCACUGUGUGUUCUUCAAAACUAUUAGUAAAGAUGACAUUGUCUAUUUGUAUACACCAGCGAAUGGAAUCAUCUCUGUUGAAUUUGAUGGGAAGUGAAUGAUUCAACAUGUUGUAAUAGCUCUGAUGCCAUGAAAGAACUGCAGUCAAGAAGAACAACCUAUCUAACUAUCUAACAGAUUAGUUUCUAUUCUGGUGAAGCUUCUAAAUGCUGUUCUGUUGAUGCUUCUGGAUGACUAUCAACCCUGGGUAGUAAAUCUCGUCCUUUCAUUUUCUUUUCCUUUCUUUUCGAUGCCCUCUCUUGUGAAUGCGCCUGACUCAACCGCUGGUAAAUGGCACUAUUUGAAAUGUGCACUAGGCUUUUCACAUGCGCUUCAAUCAAAUGGUUCAUAUGCAAUAACUAGAAAUAUCAUAAGGAAAGGAAGAACAAACGGAACUGAUAUUGAUGAAAAGAAAAGCUAGGAUCGUGCCCUAUUGAGUGAAAAGAUAACAUUUGGACUCAUAGGCUCAGUGGGAGACUUUCAAAUACCCUUGCUAAAAAGAAGAUUGAAAUACAGAGAGUUGGGACCUUCAACUCAAACCCUAGACUUAGUCCGUUAUAACAUCAAAUCCUACCAACAUGUCAACAAUCGGGCAUGUUCAUCCUUGAAACAUCUUUCAUUGGCAUGAGUUAGAGUCCUCUCCUACCGGAACCUGGCAGUGGACUAUUAUUUUUAAGAUAGUUCACCCUUUUUUUAUAGUCCAUUGGGGGCUAUUGUGGGCUAUGUCAAACAACAGAUCUUUCCAUUAAUGGUUCCAUUCUCCCAUCGAGAGGCUAUGAUACUAGUAAGUGUUAACCAAAACCCCACACAUACAAAUAAAAUGUAAAAAAAAUACAUGACAUUUUUAAUAUGAUUUAGCAAUCAAUGUGAUCCUUACAUCAACAAAGUGCUACUAAUUAAAAAUAAAUAAAAAAUAGAGGUUAUGAUGUUGAAGCUAUCAAAAAACACCUCUUAAUUGUGGUUACACUCUCUUUUUAAAAAAAAAAACCUAAAAACAUAAGAGGGUUAAAUAUAUAAUGGGAGGAAACUCGUGAUUCAUCAUAUUAAAAAAAAUCUCUAUAUUCAUACUUUACAAUUCAACAGUAAGAGUUCUAUUCUUCUCCUCUGGACUCAACUUGGUUUAUGAAAUAGAGGUCUCUUUUUUAAGUGUGUGGAAAGUCCAGUUUCAAACUAUCUAGAACUAUAAUGCCUCUUUACAUAUAUACUUGGAGAAAAAAGUUAAGCCUAUCCAUCUCAUUACUCUUUCGUUUCUACAAUCUUCAAAUCCUUCUUACCUUACCCUCAAUAUCAAUGUUUGUCUAAUUUGUGGUCUCUACCUAGCCAAGUGAUCUUUCCUAUUUGCCACUCUAUAAUGCAUGCUCGUGUUGUUUUACUCUUCUGGAGCCAUUUCUCUUUCAACUUCAAUAUUCCCCUAAAAUACUACCAUUUUUAAAAAAAAUCUAUACCAUUUAUAUUUUUUUAUUGAUAUUACUAUUUAUUAUAAAUAUCCAUUUAAAGUAAAUUUAAAAUGUAUGCAAAAUUUAAAACAUUACAAUUCAUUUUUAAAAAUUUUAAAAUGUUAUUAUUCAUUUUAUAUAUAUAUAUAUAUAUAUAUAUAUAUAUAUAUAUAUAUAUAUAUAAAUCUUAGUAUUUAUUUAAAAAUUUGACAAUAGGAGGAAUUUGACAAGAAGAAAAACAUAUCUGCUUUUCAAUGAUAGCAAGAAAAUAAAAGAAAAAAAAUUCAAUGAACAAGCAAGAAUUAGGGAAUUUUUUCUUGGACAUUUACUUUUAGGAGGAAUGAAACUUGGGUAAUGGGAUUAGCUGGGCUGGUUUGGGCCAGUUUGGGCCUAUUUUUGGGCUCACCCAAUUAGUGUACAUCUACAAUUCCUACUAUUUUGAACCCUAAAGUUUGUAAUCCACAAUUUCUUUCAACUCUUUAUUUUUUCUUUUAUCAUUUGGUUUGAAGACAUGCUAUCAAUCUCUCUCCAAUUCUCGAGUCUUCCUUUUUCCUAUGUCAUGAUCAAUUAAUACACUCUUAGUCACAAAAUGAUAUAUAUCAAAUUCUUUUGAAAGAAUUAUAAUGACCAUAAAUUUCAUAAUCAUAAAUGUUUAGGAUCACUCAAUGGGACAUAUUACUUCAGAUUCAUGAGAUAUUAUGGUGUCUCUAUUAAGAGUAUCUAUUAUUACUUAUGUAAACCACCAAUAACUAUAAUUAAUUAAUUUUUCACGUCUAUGACUUACUAUUCAUUGUAUGCAAGUUCUUUAUGAAUUGAUGUCCAUUAUUCAACAAGGUAAUAACUAUCAAUCUCUCUCCAAUUCUUGAGUCUUCCAUCCACCUAUAUCAUAAUCAACUAACAUACUCUUAGCUAUGAAUAACAUAUGUCUAAUUCCAUUGAAAGAAUUCUAAUGACCAUAAAUUUCAUAAUUAUAAAUGUUUAGCAUCACCCAAGGGGUCAUAUUAUCUCAAACUCAUGAGAUAAUAUAAUGUCUCUAUUUAGAGUAGAAAUUAUUACAUGUUUAAACUACCAAUAACCUAAUACAUAGGAAAUAUAUGAUAAUUUUGGGAUCUCACCCAAAGGCCAAAGCCACUAAUGACCUAAACUCUAGUGCAAUAAUCUCUUAAGAGUAGAACCAAUGCAACAUAUUAUAAUGGAGAAGUCAUAACAAUUCAAUAGUCAUUCAAUCACAACUCUCUAUGGAUUAUGUUCGAUGUUUAAGAACACACAUUAAUACAUUUACUAUGCGAAAACCAUCAACAAUGAACAAGACUAGUCACUCCAUUAAUACAUACAUAUAUAUAUAUAUAUAUAUAUAUAUAUAUAUAUAUAUAUAAUUAUGAGAUGUUGUCUCUCUACUCUAUAAGAUUAUAUAUAUGUGGGACUCAUAUGGAGUUAAUUUCUGUCCAUUUAUGUUUUGAUUUUAAUUUUUUGAUUUAAUUUAAAGAUAUGCAUGCAACCAUAAACGUUCAUCUCUUAGAUUAUGCCACAGUAAAACAUAGAUAAAAACUAAAUUUAAGAGAUUAUUAAGACUAACAGCAUGAAACUUAGGAAUGUGCUUGUGAUGUAUAUUUUUAAAGUUCGUCUUCUAUAUUUUGUUGCAAAUUAUAUUGAAAAAAUUUGAGCUUGAUGCAUAUUAUUAUUUCCUUCCCUUUCCAUUAAAUUCUUUAAUUAAUGAAAUCUUUAUUAAUGAAUUCUAAUAUAAAUUCAGUCAUUAUAUUGAAAAACAAUUUACCUUAUUGUAGUUCUAUGAUGAUGUAGUUAUGCCCGGCUUUCACGAGUAACAACGAUUUAUCGUAGUGGUUGGAAGCACUUUCAACUGUACGUUUAUCGGUCAUCUAAUGCAAUCUUCCAAACGCAAUACAAAGAGAUGGUUCAAGAAAUCAAACAUGCUAAAGACAGAGGCUCGAUUACCAAGGGAAUUUCCAUGGGAAAAGAUUAGGCAGUGUUACCAAGAAAAGUUGAUUAUCCACUCUCUCUUUUGUUGUUUGGAUGGUGGUUGAGAAAACUUGUCUCCGUAAAUCAGUGGAUGAAAUAUUUCUCCUUUUUCUCUUCUCUUAAUUUUCUGUCCAAUGCUAGUGAUGGGAACAUUUGGAUAUGUUUUUACAAUGAUGUAGCGGGUUCGAAGUGAUCAAAUAGAUAAAAAGAGUGAAGUUUUAACAUUUCAUUUGGAUGUCACAAGAAUAAUACCAAAACAAAAAAAAAAAAAAAAAAAGAAGGAAAAAGACAAAAAUGAAUAAGGAAGGACUCCUAAAUUUUUAUUUAAUUUUCAGAGACUGAAUUUUUUUUUUUUAAAUGAUUGACCUCACUGGUAGUAGCUAAAGUUGCUAGCUAGUCCAUUUCUCACUUUGAAGCUUUGCUUAAGAUGUGUGUGGAUGAGGGCAUUUUUUUUUUCUCUCUCUCUUUUUCUUUUUUUUCUUUUUUAUUUUCUAGGCGAGGAGUAUUUGCUGAUAUAGUGGGAACAUUUGGAUACAAUCCUUUUGCAAUAAUUGAUAGGUUGGAUGUAAGAAAAUAAAUAGAAAGAGCUACACUAGCUCAUCACAAAACUAAAAGAACUAUAAAAUUUCAUUUAAAUGUUAGAAAAUAACAAGAAAUAAUUCUUAAUUUGUCUUAUUUGUUUUAUUUAUCUUUGGGAGAAUGAUAUAAAUUAAAGAAAAUAAAAUUGAUGAGCUCCCCAACUAGUUGCAAGUGAAGUUUCCAGCUUGUUUAUACUUCUCUUUUCUUUUGAAAUGAAUGGGUAACUUGAACGUGUAUUCUUUGAGUGAGAUUAGCCCCCAUUUGUAUUCACCAAGGGGAGAGUGGAGUACUUGUAGGUUUGGUGGGGACAUUUGGAUAUCGAUUUGCAAUUAUUGGAGAGGUUCAAAAUAAGGACAUGGAUGAAAAGAGUUACACAAGUUCACAAUCAAGUUUAUAGAUUUGUAUGAUUCCAUCUCGAAGCACAAAAAGAAAAAGAGAAAAGAAAUAUUUUUAAAUUAUUUUAUUUAAUUUUGGAAGAAUGAAUUAAAUUAAAGGAAAAAAAAUGUUGAGCUCAUUCGUACCUAAUAAAAAUGCUUUUUCAUUCUUCUGUUUUCGUUUAACGGGGUGGUGGAGAAAACCUGGCUCUCUAUCUAUUCAUUAAAUGAGUUUUCCCUCUUUUCUACUUGUUGGUGAGGAAAAGAUGAAGUAUUUCUUGGUUUGAAUUCAACGUUUAGUUAUGGUUUUGUAAGGAUUGGGUAGGUUAAAAGUAAUGAAAUAGAUAAAAAUUAAAUAAAUAUUUCAGUUUAAAGAUUUGUAAUAUUUCAUUUGAACAUUUAAUACAAUUUGUAUGCAAAACUAUACAAAAUAUUUACAUAAAUUCUUUUGGAUGUUGUUAUAAAAUUGUGACACAUAAAAAUCCUAUGUUUUUGUUCAAAGUUGGAAAAUAAUAUGAAGAGGAAAAAAAAAAAAGAAAAAGAAAGAUUCUUAAAAUUCUGCUUAAUUGUUGAGAGAGUGAAUUAAAUUAAGAACAAAAGUAAUUGAGCUGUGAUCAUGAUAGUAUGUAAAGUUACUAGUCCAUUUUUUUUACUUUUGUGAUUUUUCUUAAAGAUGAUUGGUAGAGAAAACUUGACUCUUUGUUCGAAUGAGAUUAGUCUUUUUCUUCUCUCUCCUUUUUACAACGAAGACUAGAGUAUUUGUUGAUUGGUGAGAACAUUUGGAAGCCGUUUUUCAAUAAUUGAUAGGUUCAAAGUAAGGAGACAAAUAAAAAGAGUCACACAAGUUCAUGAUGACGUUUAAAUUAAGAAUUGUAAAAUUUUAUUUAAGUAUUGGAAAAGAACAAGAAAUGGAAAAAAGAAAAAGAAAGAUUCUUAUGGCAUGUUAGGUAAUUAUUAAAAAAAAACAAUUAUGAAAAAUGGUUAUUGAGAACAAUUUUUGAAAUUAUUUUUUGAUUUUUGUAGAACAAAAAUCUGUUUGGAAAUCUAAAAUAUUUUUAAUCUAUUUUUAAUAUUUUUAAAUGUGUUUUAAAAAUAAUUUUUAUAUCUAGUGUUUUAUUUUUAAUCUUUCUAUAUAUUUGUAUAAUUAUUUAUUAAAACAACCCUUAAAAACAAGUGAAAACAAUAAUAAUAAAAAAAAAAAACAACUACAAUAUGUUUUCUAAAAACAUCAUAUUUUCUGUUCUUAAGAAUAUAAAACAUAAAAUAGUUUUUUGUUAUCAAAAGUAUUUUUUAUAUUUUUUUUGUUACGGAGAAGAGAAUACUAUUUUAAAAAAUAGUUCUCAAACAAACCCUUAAUUUUUUCUAUUUAGUUUUGGGAGAAUGGAAUUAAAAAAAAAAAUGGUUGAGCUACCUAGUUGCAAGUAAAGUUGCUUGUUCAUUCUUCAUUUUUUCUUUUGAAUGGCUAACUUGACUCUUUGUUUGUUUACUGGAUGAGAAUAGCCUGCCUCGCCCCCUUUUCCACUCACUAUUGGGAGAAAGUAGUACUUGCAGAUUUGAUGGGGACAUUUGGAUAUGGUUUUGCAAUUAUUGGAUGGGUUCAAAAUAAGGAUGGAAUAAAAAAAGAUAAAACAAAAAAAAGAAGUUACGAGAGAGAUAUGACUUAAAUGGACAUGUGAGUAUGAACAAUAAAUAAUUGAUGGAGUAAAUAAAGAGUGAGGAAAUAUGAAACUCGUGCUUCAGGGUAGAAAUUUAAAGAGUGAGGAAAUAUGAGACGUUUCAAGACACAAUAGUUAUAUUUAUUUCUAUCAUCUAUAAUAUUCUCUACUGUAUGAUAGAAUGUUAUCAUUUAUCCAUAAAGAUAAGUAUUGUUGGUCGAUGAAUCAUAUCAAACUUUUGUGUAUCUUCCAUUAAUAUGAGACUUUUUUUUUUAUUCUUCCAUUAAUUUGUUACAAUAUUAAAGGCCCAACAAGUAAGAGUACAACUUGGGUCUAAUACCAAUGUUAGAAAAAAUUAAUAUUAAAAAUAAUAUUAAAUAUGUUUUAUGGUAUGAACAACAUAUAUGCAAAUCCUAGAAAAACAACUUAACAGAUAAUAUAAAAACUAAUUAAAUUUGGGCAUACCUCGAUCCUACUCCCCAAAUGAUGCCCUCAUGAUACAAUAAAAAAGGAUCCCACAAUGGUGAAUACUAUAAGAGCAUGCUCGCAUAUCCACAAUCCAAAAAGGCACCAUUAAGGACAAAUGGUGGAAAAAGAAACAACAUUUUGUUUAUCUUUAUUUAUGCACCUUUAAAUUAAGAGUUCCUUUUUUUUUUUUUUCUUUUUGCGUGUGUAUUCUGAGUGUAGAGCAAAGAAGAGCAACUUUUGACUAUAGAAGAAAAAAGCAUAAUUGAAUUAGAACCAAGUUCUUAGCUGUUAUCUCUUGGCAGUCAUUAUAAUCAAUUAAUCCAUCUAGAAACAAAUAGUGAUCACAUGCAACUAUUGUCAGUAAUGGAAGUAACCUUAAAAAGGAAAUAAACAAUAUUUGAAUGACUUCUAUUAACUUCCUCUAGGGAACAUUGUACAUAUAUAUGCAAAGAGGAGUGUGGCUGGUAAUAUUAGCACCAUAAGUAAACUCAAGGUCUUUCUGAAUCAAUAACUCCACUAUAUCAGGGUGAUCAUACCGUACUGCCUCGUGGAAUGCUGUGUCUUCCUCCAUGUUGGUCAUUCUCAGCAUCACUUUAUCUGUUCCUAUCUCACUCUCCAUCUCUUUAAAGACUGCUUUUGCACCAUCGAAAAGGGCUACCACAACAUCAAUAUAACCUUUCCUGGCUGCAAGAUGAAGGAGAGUGUCACCUCUCAGAUUUGGGAGCUGCAACAGAGAUGAACAUAAAGGCAACCCAAGGAUCCAUCUAACACCGUCCACUUUACCAUAUUGGGCUGCAAUAUGGAGGACAGUGUGAUAUUUUGGGGUUUAAUGGGGUUGAAGUUGGGCAUCUGAGUACUUGGAUUUAAGGGUAUCAGUAUCGCCUUCAUAUACCGCCUUUUACAGAUCAUCAUCCAUAGGAGCGAUCUCCAUUUGCCUACCAUCAUCAGCUGUAACUUGGUCUAACAUCUCAAUGUGGCUUGAGGAGUCCAAGUUAAGGUUCUGCGGUUUUGCACUUUGGUUGGAAAUCAAUUGUGUUAGGGUGAAUUCACAAUAUUCCAACAAACACCAAAACUUUUCUACCUUUUAUUUGUGCAAAAUUAAAUAGGUAAUAGCAACUACCAGCAAUAAAUAAAUAAACUCAUGCAACAGAAAAAUAAAUCAAACACUAGAAUUUUUAUGUGAAAAACCCCCCAAUGCGAAGGGAAAAACCACGGGACCUAGUCCAGUUCAAACUUCCAUUAUCAACAAUAAUGGGUUAUACUUGUCUUCUCUAGAAUAAUCUUUAAAGGCUGCUAAAUACAUCAAGAGCAUAUAUAGCCUUGGAUUAUAUAAUCUCUCUUGGCAAAAUAAACAAAGAAAAAUUGGAGAAAGUAUACCAAAAAUGUUGUUACUGUUCACGGGUAGUAACACCAGUUUUCGAGCUCAAAAUCUUAUCUCCACCGUUCAGAUUGUAGCUACUCGAGUUUCAAACAUUUCCUCCAAAUUUCAACUCUAUUGAACCACAGAUGAAGUGGGAUCGGCUUGUUGAUGAAAUCUGGGUAGAUGUGUUUUUUUUUUAUUUCUCUUCUCUUCUCUCUGUUUUUCUUUUCCUGAUCUACUUUUUUUUUUUUUAAAUGUAACUAACUUGGGCCCCAAGCAUAUGGGGCCCACUCCCUCACAUACGAGGAAACCCAACUCCUGACUAUGUGAUGGGCUCUACCAAGCUCACUUGUUUUCUACAAAAUUGUAGCUUCUCUGUAGGUAUUGGUUUUGUCAUCAUAUCUUAUCCAUUCUCAUCAGUAUGGAUUUUUUCAAGGCAAAACAAUUUCAUCUCUAGUACAUCACGAAUCCAAUGAUAUCUCACAUCAAUAUGCUUGGAUCUAGAGUGAAAAGUUGGAUUCUUACUGAGAUAAAUAACACUCUGACUAUCACAGUAGAGUAGAUACCUUUCUUGCUGUAGACCUAAUUCUUGUAGGAACUUCUUCAUCCACAGUAACUCCUUGCUAGCUUCAAUGAUAACAAUAUACUCAGCCUCUAUGGUCGACAAAGCAACACAUUUCUGCAACAUUGAUAGUCAUGACACUGUUUCCCCUAAAAAGGUGAUCAAAUAACCAAAAGUAGACUUUCUAGAAUCAACAUCCCCAGCCAUAUCUGCAUUUGUGCAUCCUAUAAGCAUAAGUUUGUUAGUCUCAAAACAUAAACAUGUCUUAGAAGUACCCCUUAGAUACAUGAGAAUCCAUUUCACUGCAGCCUAAUGUUCUUUGCCAGGAUUAGAAAAGAACCUACUGACAACUCCAACAACAUAAGCAAUAUCAAGCCUCAUGCACACCAUGACAUACAUUAAGCUACCCACAACUGAUGCAUAGGGAACCUUUCGCAUUUCUUCUUUUUCUUUCUCACUUGAAGGACUUUGUUUGGAACUUAGCUUUAGAUGACUUCCAAGUGAUGAACUCACUGGUUUUGCCUUGCCCANUAUUGAACUNNNNNNNNNNNNNNNNNNNNNNNNNNNNNNNNNNNNNNNNNNNNNNNNNNNNNNNNNNNNNNNNNNNNNNNNNNNNNNNNNNNNNNNNNNNNNNNNNNNNNNNNNNNNNNNNNNNNNNNNNNNNNNNNNNNNNNNNNNNNNNNNNNNNNNNNNNNNNNNNNNNNNNNNNNNNNNNNNNNNNNNNNNNNNNNNNNNNNNNNNNNNNNNNNNNNNNNNNNNNNNNNNNNNNNNNNNNNNNNNNNNNNNNNNNNNNNNNNNNNNNNNNNNNNNNNNNNNNNNNNNNNNNNNNNNNNNNNNNNNNNNNNNNNNNNNNNNNNNNNNNNNNNNNNNNNNNNNNNNNNNNNNNNNNNNNNNNNNNNNNNNNNNNNNNNNNNNNNNNNNNNNNNNNNNNNNNNNNNNNNNNNNNNNNNNNNNNNNNNNNNNNNNNNNNNNNNNNNNNNNNNNNNNNNNNNNNNNNNNNNNNNNNNNNNNNNNNNNNNNNNNNNNNNNNNNNNNNNNNNNNNNNNNNNNNNNNNNNNNNNNNNNNNNNNNNNNNNNNNNNNNNNNNNNNNNNNNNNNNNNNNNNNNNNNNNNNAGUGUUCCUUGCCUUUGAUUGUAAACCCUUCUGGUUGCUCCAUAUAUAUUUCCUCCUCUAAGUCACCAUGGAAGAAAGCAGUCUUCACAUCAAGCUGUUCAAUCUCUAGAUUCAUAUUGGCAGCUAAGCCUAACACAACUCGGAUCGAAAACAUCUUAACCAUGGGUGAGAAAAUCUCUUCAAAGUCAAUGUCUUUCUUCUAACUAAAACCUUUCACAACCAAUCUUACCUUAUACCUUGGUUGUGAUCUAUUUGGUUCAGGCUUCCUUUUUAGUAUCCAUUUAUUAUUCAAUGCUCUCUUACCCUUAGGCAACUUCAUCAAUUUAUAAGUGUUGUUCUUAUGCAAGGAUUUCAUCUCCAUGCAUAGCUUUCAACCUUUUUUUUUCUCAUCAUGUAGUAGAACUUCUUGAUAAUUUUCUGGCUCUACUCCAUCAGAAAGCAACAAAUACUCAUCACUAGUAUUCUUUCUAGAAGGUUGACACUCUCUAGUAGAUCUUCUUAACUAUGUUUCAGUAAGCAACUUUGAAGUAGCUUGUUCUUGCUGCUGUUCUAAGUCAUCAUUCUCAAUUGUAAGAUUUUCUUCUACAUCAUCAAAUGCAGACUCAUCAUUUUUGUCAAUUGUAUCAAUCUAUUCUUCUUACACAACUUCCAUGUGUUCAUUAUGUCCCAUAGAGUUAGGAGAGACUAGACUCAAAUCAACUUGUUCUUCACUGAAAGGCUUUGGCUUCUUAACCUGAUCCAAGUCUUCAAUGGUUUGAUCUUCGAAGAAGACAACAUCUCUGCUUCUUAUAAUCUUUUUGGUAGUUGGAUCCCAUAACCUAUACCCAAACUCUUCAUUUGAAUAACCCAAGAAGAUACACUGUUUAGUCUUGUUGUCAAGCUUGGAUUGCUCGUCUCUAGGAACAUGAACAAAUGCCCUACAGCUAAACACUCUCAAGUGCUCAAAGGAAACAAAUUUUCAUGUCCAAACCCUCUUUGGAAUAUCAACCUCUAAGGGAUAUGAUGGAGACAUAUUAAUCGGAUCAAUGGUUGUCCUCAUGGCCUCACCUCAAAAAGACUUAGGCAAUUUUGCAUGAGAGAGCAUACACCUUAUUCUAUCGCAGAUGGUCCUAUUCAUUCUUUUAGCUACACCAUUUUGCUGUGGGAUCUUAGGAAGCGUCUUCUUAAGCCUGAUGUCAUGAAUUUUGCAUUAUUGCUCAAAUGGCCCCCUAUAUUCAUCACCAUUGCUUGCUUUGACAGAUUUUAACUACUUCUCAGUUUGCCUCUCAACCUUCACAUGAAAAUCUUUGAAUACAUCAAGUAUCUGGUCUUUGGAUUUCAAAGCAUAUGCUUACACCUUUCUUGAAUGAUCAUCAAUAAAAGUCACAUAAUAAAGUGCACCACCAAGAGUAUUACUUUGCAUAGUAUAAACAUCAAUGUGAACUAAAUCAAGAAUACCUGGUUUUCUCGUGAAAGAAAUCUACGAAAUGCAACUCUACUUUGCUUUCUAAACAGACAAUCUGUACAAGGUAAUAGUGACGUACCUUUGACUGGUAGAAGCUUCUUUCUGGAAAGAACCCGAAGUCCCUUUUCACUAAUAUGACCAAGCCACUUAUGCCAUAGCUUAGUAAAGGCUUCAUUCUCAACAAUGUUCACAUCUCCCUUGAUUAAUCUUGCUUCUGUCUUGUAGAAGGUAUUGUUUUUCUUUCCCCUAGCUAAAACAAGAGAACCCUUGGUAAACUUCCAUUUACCCUCUCAAAGGUGACUAUGAUAGCCCUCAUCAUCAAGCUUCCCAACAGAGAUCAAACUAAAGCGCAUUUCAGGAACAUGUCUAACAUUUUUCAAAACCAAUUUGCACCCAAUGCUAGUUUCUAGCUCUACAUCUCCCAUGCCAACAAUUUCACAUUUUGCUUCAUGUCCCAUCCUAACCCAACCAAAACUGCCAUUGGUGUAGGAAGAGAAGAAAUCUCUACGUGCAGUGAUAUGAAACGACGUUGCUGUAUCAACCACCCAAGUGGAAUCCUGACAUGCAAGGUUUACACAUGCAUCAUCAUAAAUAAUGAUCUUAUCACAAUCAGAUGCCAAUGUCUUUGUUAUCUUUCUGUUCUUCACCUUUUCCUUUAGAUUGUUUCUUCUGAAUUUUCUACACUUUCUCUUAAUGUGCCCUAACUUGCCACAGUAAAAACACUUUAUCUCUUUUCGGGACUUUGACUUUCCUCUUAACUUGUCACGGUUACAAUCACUAAAAGGUUUUCUGCUUUCACUUGUCCACCACCUUUCUGUAACAAGUGCUUCUGUAUUAGAGAAAAUACCUAACUCUUUUCUUCUUGCCUCUUCAUUAAACAUGUUGUCCUUUACCAUUUUGACAAUUCUCACACCAUUUGGGGCUGAAUUACUCAAGGAUACCACCAAAGUUUCCCAACUGUCUGGUAAGGAACUCAACUAAAGUAAAGUCUGUAUCUCAUAAUCUAACUAAAGCUUAAUGGUAGACAACUCAUUCAACAGUCUCUGAAAAUUACUGAAAUGCUCUGCAACACUAUUACCAUCCUUGUACUUUAAAUUCACAAGUCUUCUUAUUAUAAAGGCUUUGUUCUGUGCAGUCUUUAUCUCAUAAAGACUCUCUAAUUUCUGCCAAAUGCUAUAUGCAUCAACUUCCUUGACUACAUGAUGGAAGACACUCUGAUCAACCCACUAUGUGGACCCGCAUUUUUCACGUGCGUCCCCACUCGAUCGGCGAGACUCGCUUUUUAUUUAUUUGUGAAAAAUUGAUUUUAGAAAAGUUGGAGUCGCCACCUAUUUUAUUUUUAUUUUAAAGGGAAAAUAAAACAAGAAAGAAAACCCUAAAAAAGUGACUCCAUAGUUUUGGAAGAAGCAUGUCUUUGAGAAACCCGAGUCUAAGUCCGGGGAUCAGGUUACUUAUUGGGAAGGUACCUCUAGGAGGUAGCACCCCUCUAAGCCCCAAAGAGGUCUCUACUGACAAAGUUAAGGGAAGUGUGACCAUUAAUCAGUUAAUUUUAGGUACCUAAGUAGGCUAGGUGAUUUCAAAUAUUGCAUGCCUAACAAGAAAACGAACCAUAAGAGAGAGUCGAAGUGCGUACCUGAACGGCUUCUCAAGCGCUAUCAUGAAACAUAAGAGAUUAGUUUGGAAAUAUGACACAUGGUAUGUAUUUUCAUCAAAGAUGAUCAAACAAGCAUCAAGGCAAUCAAUUAUGGCAUCAAACAUGGUCAUGUCUCAUGAGAAGAUACACAUUCAUAGAAUUUUAGGGUUGUGGGGUAGAAAUGGCGUACCUGAUUAGCUAGCAUCCACAUCUCUAUGGGAAGCAAGGAUAUCUCAACAGUAAAAUAAUGAAUUCAAGGAUUUCACCAAGAAGAAUAAAAAAUCAACAUAUCAAGCAAAUAGUAUUGAAGUGAAUGCUAUGAAUGUCGGGCCCCCACCAAAGCCCUAGUUGAUUUCGCAUGAGUUUGUUCUAUGAAUUCCAUUGUUUGGAAUCAUGAAGUGUAUUCAUGCUUAUUGAAAAUCAAGAAAAACACAAAAAUAGUUAAAAAUCAAAUAAAACAUUGAAAGUGCAUACCCGAAGGAGAGUGGCAGCAAAUAGCAUGUUAAAAUUGGGAUUUUAUACCUAGAAACUCCUAAGGAAUUUUGAAGAAAACCAAAGUUAUUUGAUGGAAAAAGAUUUUUGAAAUUCAUAUUUAAGAUGUAUAAGAUCACAAAAAAAAAAAAAAAAAAAAAGAAACGAUAGGAGGAGUACGAUGUGAGGCAUAGUGACCACGUUGGAGUGAGGUCGGGGGUUAUGACCAAGUUUGCACUGUUGGUGAUUGCAGGCACUGCUGUCAUUUUCUCUAGAUUUUUCCUUCUGCUCUCUCGUAUGCAUUUAGGUACCUUACAUCACUGCAUUCUCAGACCUUUUCUAAUUCCUUGAAAUCCCCCUACAUUCAGAUGCAGCAUCAAUAUUGUUAGAGCAAGUGUCGGCAUCUUCUAUGACCUCCUUAUUAAUUUCUUCUGAUAUUUCAGAUACGGAGCUGAGACAUCCACUUUCUUUUCACCACUCUGUUUCUGUAGCAUCUCUACUUCCAUUGCUCUUGUGAUGGGAAAUCUUUCAGAGUCUUUGCUGAAAUCUUCUACAACCUGUAGGUUUACAGUUUUAGUCUGCACUUCAGAAUCUGUCAUUCUAGAAUUUUCAGCGAGCAUUGUCUCAGAAUGCCAUUCCUAUUUAACCGAUUCAACUUCAAUGGAUGUGGCUGGAAACCCCCCUGAUGUCUCUCUCUUUCUCUAUGAUCAGUUCUUUGUUGUUUUCAUACUCUUCUGCAGGUUUCCUAGCUCCCUCAGGAACCCCUGCUGGCAGCCUCAUGAUUCUGUCACUUUCUAUUGGAGAAUCUGGAACAUAUCGGUGAGUAAUCUUGGAAACAAUUGGGCAAUCUGUAGGUUCUUCACUUGUUCUCAUUGCUAAGUUACCCCAUUCCAUCUGAUGCCUUGGACCUGCCACCGCUGCUGGUAUGUUCCGUUGAACUAAGCAAGCUUGUUGAUGAUGCCAUUAAAAUUGUCUUGACGACAGCGAGGAUCUACUAAAGAUCACUUUCUUGGCGUCUCUAGCUCUGUGAGAUAUCUCAAGGUGUAGCUCGAAAGACUCAUAGUCUGAGAUCUUAUCACCAGUGGUGUUUGCUUGGCUUGCUUCUUUUAACUAUUUACAUGAACAAAACUGAAAGCUAAUGCAGUGUUUCAAUCCACAGAUGGUUGUUUCACCUCCGACUUCUCACUUACUGGUGUCAAUAAUAAUGACAGUAUCCUGACUUCAAUCAUUUCGAGUUCCAGCAAAGACUUUAUCCUGAAGAACUCCAAUCUGAAAUUCUGAAGUACUGAUGCCCUGUAACCCCUGACUCAUGAACGCAGCUUCGACUUAUGUUGCUUGUCACUUGCUCUUUUUAAUACUCCCCACCUUAUUCUCUUCCACCUAUAGUUUGAUUGUCAAUCAUUUCUUCUCUUCUUCAAACUCUCAAAUCUGUGCCCUUAACUUCUCAAUCUGAAAUUCUGGAGCAGCUCGCUUUUCUCGUAGAGACUCGGUUUCUGCUGCAUUGGAUUUUCUCUUCAAAUCCUCAUUUACAAUUUUUGGCUGCUCAUUUUCUUUCAUCAGCUUUGCAAUUUCAUCAGCUUUUACCUGAGCUUGUCUUGCAGCCUCCCCCUUAGAGUGCAGCUUCCAGCAUCUUCAAUUUGCUCAGCUAAGUUACCUUCAAUCUCUGGGACUGACCAGUUCAUUUCUGUUUUGCUUUUGGACCCAUGCUUCUUCCCUUUCUUUCCCUCGAGCUCUGAGAAUUCUUUGUAUUGAACCCUUAUAGUUGCCCGAGUAGUCUUCUGAUGGAGUAGCUCGCACCAAUAACUGAAGUGUUUUCAAUUCCCUGGUCUGAAAUAUCCAACAACUGCUUAUAAGUUGAAAAGAUUAAAGAAUCAAGUUACUUGGAGAGGCUACUAAACAUCUCAUCCCCUGGCUAAACUUCAAUGAGAAGCCUCCAGUCCCAAAGAUUUCUUCCACUGAUUGUGUUUCAAUGCCAACUGUGAAUUUCUAUAAUUCUGAACUCAUGGCCCAGCAAAGUUCAGAUCCAUUAUGGUUAAACAUGGUCAGAAUAGGACCUGAAAUGCCAACCAUGCCCAGAACAUCUUUUACCACUUCGAUUUACUAUUUUGCCCAUUUUAAUUUUCAAGCGAAUAUGACUAGUUGACGCACGACCUUUUACCUUUGACCCCUCAGGUUUAUCAGUAAUGCAGUCUUCAGAGAUAGCAAAUUAUUCCUUUUCCACCCUUGUGCGCUUUUCCACCAAGAUAACCGAAGAAUUCUUAUAGUACCCCUGAUUCAAACCACCAGAUUUACCUAAAAGUGGCAACUCAUAUUAUUGUUUUUUUUGCUGAGCAAACAGGGUCUCAAAGUACGCUUUCUGCAACCCUAACAAAAUCUCCAUGUGAAGUGCCAAUGAAAUUCCUUACUGAAGAAGGGUCACCCUGGCUAGCAGCUGUACGUGUUGCAUAAUCUGAAGUUCCUUGCAUGUAGUGGACACCAUGCGAUUCCAUGUAUGAGUGAAGGUCAGAGCCCAUAAUUUUAUUCCAGCUUGUGCAAGCUUGUCAAUGCAGUGAUCUCUUCUUCAAUUACUGCUUCAACACCUUGAUAUUUCGAUUCAGAAUCCAUUUCAGAUGCUCUUUUGAUUUGUUCUUUAAUUAUAUCUUCCUCUUUCUUGGUAUAACAUUCUCUGUCAAGUCUUCAUCAUCACUUGAAUCAGAAGAAACGUUUCCAUAUGCCUCAUCAUGCAGCUUUUUGUAAUCCCGCCUUUCUACACGUCUCUUUGCAGACAGAGGUGCAUUAUCUUGACCAGAAUUUGACUCCAACACAGAUAAGAGCUCAUCCUUUAACUGUACAUUUUGAAUUACAAAGCCCUGGUGAAUGCGAGGUAUCAUAUUAUUAGCUGCAAACAACAUGGUGUACACUUAUAUUAACACUGAUUGGGAAAUUAAUUGCAGUAACGGUAAGCUGAUCGCGACUAGAGGAUGCUGAGACAGUCGUGAGUAAGCUCCACACAGCAAAUGAAGAAGUCAUUCAAGCACUCCUGAAACUUCCCUUCACCGAUUUCAUAUACAACAUUAGGAAUUGGAUAGAUGCAGGACUUUGUAUGAUUGACAUAGUAUUGAAGGCAUGUCUGCGUCUCUGAGAGGUCUUGUCAUAGAUAUUCAUGAAUAUUUUUCUUCCGUAACUAGGUCCCCUGUAUUUCUUUCAAUUGCAGGUCCAUAAUCUCUCAAACUUAUAUCUGAGUUCUCUAUGGCCAUUUUGUUUGACGUGUGUUCAGAAUGAGUUUUCACUCCCAUGUGCUUGAACUGAACUCCCCUACAGUUAUUAUUUGAGGCCAAGACAAAGGGUGUGGAGGAAUCAUCUUUCUGGGUAAUGUCGGUCCUCUUUUAUACCAGUCAAAAGCUUAUCCCAAACUUCUUAAGGAACUAAAACAUAAUCAUGUCCCUCCUCUAGCGUAUUAAGAAUCUCCAGAUCAUCAAGUUCUUAUUCAUUUCCAUUUAAAACAAUAUCAGAAUUAUCAAUAGGUCCAGGCUUCUCUAUUGUCUUUGAUGGAACCACAUCCAAACGCUGUGAAUCAGACAAAUGUCCAUUGAUUGUUGGAUUCCAGACGCAUCAAUUCACAUCUAACAGCCACUGGAAGCUGCAGAAAUAUCAGUAUUUCUAGGCGGGUCUUCCCUGAAGAUGCCAUGCUAAACGUAUAUCCUUUCAACCUCAGCUUCCAUGCCCUUGCUGUAACGUAAAGUGGACUGUCUCUUAGCUUCAGCCCAAAAAAAAACUGGAAUUCUGGGCCUUCGCGAUCUGGAUGGCAAUUCUGCUCACGGGAUGUAAGUCUUUAAUUUUGCUUUAGCGUAGAAUUUUAAUUCGAAGAGUCCUCAUGGUAAUGGAGUUGACAGAAGGUUACCGUCAUAGGAUUGCUUGUCCACUAAUGGAGCAUCUCGAGAGAUUCUUCAAUAAAAUCGAUUAAGCAUAGAAGUUGAUUUCAGCUUUAGAUGCAAUCAUGACGAAUUAUAGUUGAUUGCUAGCUUCUACUGAAACAGUAUUCUGACUCCCAGCUUCUGGCACUACCCGUGAUCCUUUAAUUUUAUUGUCUUCUCUAAUUGCCAUAGUUUUUCUUCUAGACAGCAGCAAUGAGGAUUUUGAAUUCCAUGACUGACUCAUCUGAUUAAUUAACAUAUAGAGAAGAUUCUUCCAACCGGAGCAUUUGAGACUCACUUAUCAACAGAAGCUGCAUCAAUUUCUUUCUUUCUGCUAUUUUUCCCGCCACUAGAUCCUAACCCAUGACAGCUACCAAUGGCUGAAGCCGUAGAAAUAGUGUAAGAACAUUGCCAGCUUCCAUUCCCCAUGACAUUUUUCCUUAAAGAUCCAGAAUCUCAACCCCAAUCGCAUCUCCUCAUUAUUUCUCAUCUCUUUCCAUAAUCCCCAAAAUUUUUGAACCAACGCUGUCAACUUUUUCCUUGCUUUCAGAAUCACACACUCCUCUGUAGAACUGAUUAGAGCUGUUCCUGAAGGUGAAUGGCCCAGGUUGUAUUUGACUUUUAGAUUUUAGGAUCACAACGACAGUACCAGAAGGCUUAGAGAAGUCCAUGAUUUCGAGCACCACAUUAUGCUUAUCCGAAUGCAGAAAAAGCAGAGUGUCCCUUUUCCCAUGAUUUUUAAUUUUUAACUCCGAAGCAGAGAACAAAUCUUGAAGGCCAGGAAUAGAGCUUGUUGAGGUAUGGACCAAAAACAGAAGAAGACAACAAAAACGUAUAGAAAGAGAGGAAGGAUGAUCAACAAAAGUCACAAUUUCGCAUUUCAAUCCAUUAGCUUAGAACAGGGGAGUGAUUUCAGAAUAAGAUUUGAAUAAAAACCGGACGUGAUUUCUACUAUCCAGUCUGAAGAUGGACAUGUAUGCAAUUUAUUUUCAGGCGGGAUCGAUGACAUUAACAGAAUGAUGAACAUAUCAAACAGACAAAGAUCUAAUUUCAACACAGCAAUUUGUGGCCCUUUCCGUCCACACCAACCAAUAAUAUAUUGAAUAUUCAGAAAUCAUCAAAUGGAGGAAUCGAGUAUGAAUAAGAACAUCAAAAGUAACCAGAAACGUACCUGGGCAGCCUUGCUUCCAAUCUCCCUCCCUUUCUGCUCUUCUCUCUGCGCUUUUCUUCAAGAUCUCUCUUUUUCUCCUUUCUUCCAGCCCCUCUAAAAUUCCAGUACGUGCCCCCCUUUCUUCCUUUUUUCCACCUAUAUAUAUCACCCUUCAGGACCUAAAUUUGUUUCCAAAAAAGAGAAUUCUCCUAUUUUCUUUCUUCUUCUCUUCUCUUUUUUUAAAUCCUUCAAUCAAAAGCAAUCUUCCCAAUUUCAAAUUCCCCUCCAAAACCUUCCAAGGAGAGUCCCGCCUUCCUUAAACUUCAAUGGUAAGUUUCCUUGCAAAAAUAUGAAAUUUUUGAAGUUAAAUAAUUGCAUGAAUAGAUAAAUAAGUAAAUAAAUUAAAAAAUGGUAAAAAUAAUAAAUAAAUAAAUAAGUUAAGGAAAAUAAUAUAAAGAGGAAGAUAACCAAUAAAAAGUGAAUGAUAAUCAUAAAAUUAAAACUAAAAACAAAAUAAAUAAAUAAAUAAAAUAAAAUAAAAUAAAAGUCUUCGUAGGCCUAGUGUGCCUAAACGGGCCUAAGGUGAGACUAAGUGGGCCUAGGGUGGUGCCUAAUGGGCCAAGUGUAUCUAAAAGCUAUCCUAAAAAAAAAGCAAGAAAAGCCUAAGUCUAAAUUAGGGCUGCCAAGGGUCACAAUAAGGGAUCAAAUAAUCCCUCAACCAAAAUCUCCGAGGUGACUCAGAAAAAGGUAAGUGGUAUGAGUAGCCAUGGGCCACCAAAUUUUGAAGCACUGAAAACGAAUUUUAAAGACAUGUGCUAAAGGGACAAAAUUGAGGGUCUACACACUACCUAAUCUGUCCAAUGGUUUUCCUAUUUAAUUUUUUCCACUCAUCCUCAAUUGUAGUAACUAGCUUAUAACCCCCGCAUUCAGUGGGCUCAAACAACUCUUUGCAAUAUAGAAUAUCCUCAAUUUUAGUCUUCCAAAUUGAAUAAUUGGAAGUUAUGAGUUUAAUCAUUCCACUGUCAGCCUCCUCCAUUUAAUUCACACAAAAGAUCCCAUUGCUAAUCAACUUGGCUUUGAUACCACUUGUUAGGGUGAAUUCACAAUAUUCCAACAAUCACCAAAAAAUUUCUACCAUUUCUUUGUGCAAAAUUAAAUAGGUAAUAGCAACUAGUAGCAAUAAAUAAAUAAACUCAUGCAAUAGAAAAUUAAAUCAAACACUAAAAUUUUUACGUGGAAAACCCCCCAAUGCGAAGGAAAAACCACGAGCCCUAGUCCAAUUCAAAAUUCCGCUAUCAACAAUAAUGGGUUACACUUGUCUUCUCUAGAAUAAUCUCUAGAGGCUGCCAAAUACAUUAAGAGCACAUAUAGCCUUGUAUUAUAUAAUCUCUCUUGGCAAAAGAAACAAAGAAAAAUUGGAGAAUGUAUACCAAAAACGUUGUUACUGUUCACGGGUAGUAACACUAGUUCCCGAUCUCAAAAUCUAAUCUCCAUCGUUUCAAUUGUAGCUACUUGAGUUUCAAACCUCUCCUUCAAUUUUCAACUCGAUCGGACCAUAGAUGAAGCGAGAUCGACUAGAUGAAAUCUAGGCAGAUGUGUUUUUUUCUCUCUCUCUUCUCUUUUCUCUGUUUUUCUUUUCCCGAUCUACUUUUUUUUUAAAAAAAAAUGUAACUAACUUGUGCCCCAAGCAUAUGGGGCCCACUCCUUCACAUACUAAGGAGCCCAACAGGUUGAUCCAUGUUUGGUCUUGGAGCAAUGCACUAUAUCUUUUCCAUUUUUCUAAAUCCUUAUCAAAAGUUCCCUUUAAUCUCAUGUCCAUGAUUACGCUCACACACACAUAUAUAAAUCUUCUCAAUAGUUUCCUCAUUUCCUUUUCCUUUUCUUUUCUUUUCUUUUCUUUUUUUUGUCCUUUUAGAGUUGAUAUUGAUGGGGUUGUGAAAAAUGUUUUUCAAUUUGAGUGUUUGUUUUGAAAAAUUAAAUUAAAAAAAAACAUGUAAAAAAAUUUAUUGAAUGUUUUUUUUUCCUACUUAUUUUAUUUUAUUUUUUAUUUUUAUUUUAUCAAGGUUAGAAAAAAGCCAAUGGCAUUUGAGGAUAACAUGGUUGUCUCUUUCAAAUAGUAGGUCAACUUUUUGUUAGUAUUCUAUCAUAUGUAACAAUUCUUUUCUAUUUUUUGAUAUAAUUAAUGGAAAAUGAUAGACGAGUAGUUGCUUUUAGAAAGUUGUCUAGAGAGCAGGAGUAGCUUUCAAAUUUUGUUAUAAAAAAGUUCAUGAAGAUGAGAGUUAUUUGACCAUAUACAAUUUUCUCUUUCUUUCUAUAGAUAAGAUAAUUUUUGGUUGUAAUUUCAUAAGUAAUAUAUUUUUAUUUUAAUACAAUAGCAAAAAUUAGAAAAAAAAAAAAAAUGAGAAACUUGGGGUCUCACAUGUAAAGAUUAGAAAGGAGUCAAAACUCAUGAAAAGAAUCAAUGAAUUUUUUUUUCUUUUUAUUGUUAUAUAAUCAUAAAUAUAUAUAUUUUUCUAUUUUUAAAAACAAAAAUAAAACUAAAAUUAAGAAAUAUAUUAGAUAUUUUUAAAUGUUAAAAAAUGUAAUUAAAAUUUUAUUGAUACCCCCUACUUCUAAAAGUCAUAAAAAUAAAAGUAUGAAUACAUGUUGUUUCUCCUUUUUGGUAAAGAUCACUAGUAUCAAAGAAAUUAUGAAGACAUAUUUCUUCCCCUUUUUCUUUUUUGGUAUCAAAGAUCACUAAUUAUUAUUAUUUUUUCAUAUGUAGCAUAUCAAAUAUAAAUCAAUACCAAAUACAAAUGUUGAUAAAGACUAGGAAUCUACCAAAUCAAAGUGGUAGAAGUAUAUUAAGGCCCUACCAUCUUUGUCAAGAUAUAUGUGUUGGCCCUACCAUUUUUGUCAAGAUGUAGGUAAUAAUAUCCUUGAAUUUUUAUCACACAAAUUAAAACAAUAAGUGGAAAUAUCAUAACACAACAAUUGUUUUUUUAGAGAUGAGUAGUCCCUUCCAACUUAGUUUCACAAUCAUAGAUAUUUUGUAUAGCUUAUGUUUAUAUUCAAAGAUGUUUUAUGUACAAUAUUGGUUGUAAUUUUUUUGGUUAUAUAGUUAUAUAUAUAUAUAUAUAUAUAUAUAUAUAUAUAUAUAUAUAUAUAUAUAUAUAUAUUAUUUCUUAAGUAUAGCAAUUGGUCCACUUUUUUCUCAUAUUUGGAUUAGCUAAUUAAUUUGAUUUCCAUCCUUAGGACCCAACAAGUGACAAUUCAAAUAUAAAUCAAUAUCAAAUAUUAAUAUUGAUAAAGACUUGGUAUCUACCAUAUCAAAGUGGUAGAAGUUUCUCAAGGCUCUAUCACAUUUCUCAAAAUGUAUCUGUUGAUCCUAUCACCUUUGUCAAUGUAAAUGUUAAUAUCCUCAAAACUUUAUCAUAUGAAUUAAAACAAGUGGAAAUUUAUCAAAACAUAACAAUUGUUUUUUUGAAGAUGAGUAGUUUAUUUCAACUUAGGUUCACAAUCAUAGAUAUUUUCUAUAGCUUAUGUUUAUAUUCAAAGAUAUUUUAUGUACAAUAUUGGUUGUAAUUUUAUAUAUAUAUUGGUCCACUUUUCUCUUAUAUUUGGAUUAGCUAAUUAACUUGAUUUCCAUUGAAAGGACCCAACUAGUGACAUUUUGAUUAAUAUAAAUCAAUAUCAAAUAUUAAUGUUGAUAAAGACCGGGUAUCUGCCUUAACUAUCAAAGUGGUAAAAGAGCAUCUUAAGGCCCUAUCACAUUUCUCAAGAUAUAUGUGUUGGCCCUAUCACCUUUGUCAAGAUGUAUGAGUUCUUUUUUUUUUUUUUUUUUUUAUUUGAGAUAAGUAGUCCCCUUCAACUUUGGUUGACAAUCAUAAAUAUUUUGUAUAGCUUAUGUCCAUAGUCAAAGAUAUUUUAUGUACAAUAUUGGUUAUAAUUUUUUGAUAAUUUCGAAAGUAAAAAUUUCAUAAGAUAUCAAUUUUUUUUUUCACUCCUAAAUUUAUUUAGUGUAAUUUUAGAACUCAAAAUUCACUCAUAUAUAUAUAUAUAUAUAUAUUAUCAAAUCAAAAUCAUUAAUGUCUCGUGUAAGGGAAACCUAUUAAAAAAUAAUUUAAAAAAUUCUACUAAUUGUGAUAUAAUUACAAAAUAUUUUUUUUCCUAUUUUUGAAAAUAGAAUUAAAAAAAAGAUAUUUAAUGUUUUUAAAUUUUUAAAAUAUAUAUACCUAAAUCAUUAUUUGUAUUUUUACUUUAAAAAAAACACAAAAAUAUACUAAAUGAAACCUAAGGAUCUCACUACAGUCGAAAAAUAUUUAAAAUUUGAAAAGCAAAAAUUUCAAAAGUAACAGUAUCAAUUUGCUUAAUUUUAAAACUCAAAAUUCACUCAUUUUUUUUCCUUUUUAUCAUUUCAAAAUCAUCAAUGUCUCUUGUGUAAAGGAAACCUUUUAAAAAAUUAUUAAAAAUUUUCUACUAAUUGUGAUAUAAUUACAAAUAUUUUCUUUCUUCCUAUUUUUGAAAAUAGAAUUAAAAAAUAUAUUUAAUAUUUUAAAUUUUUUUAAAUAUAUAUAACUAAAACAUUAUUUUUAUUUUUACUUUUAAAAAUAAAAAAUAAAUAAAACAAAAAAACAAAAAAAUACUAAAUGGAACUUAAGGAUAUCACUGAAGUCUAAAAUAUUUAAAAUUUCAAAAGUAAUUAAGGGUUUUGAAACUCAAACUUUAAUUAAUAUGAUUUUAAAACUCAAAAUUCACUCAUAUCUUUUUUUUUUUUUUUUUUUUAUCAAAUCAAAAUCAUCAAUGUCUCUUUAUGUAAAGGAAAUCUAUUAAAAAUCAUUAAAAAAAUUUAUUAUAAUUUAAAAAGAUAUUUAAUAUUUUAAAAUUUUUAAAAUAUAUAUAUAACUAAAACAUUAUUUGUAUUUUUACUUUUAAAAAUAAUAAAAAAACAAAAAUAUAUCUAAAUGCAACCCAAGGAUAUCACCACUGUAUUAACAUUGAUGAUUUUGGUUGAAAAACAUUUAAAAAUUCAAAAGUAAUAAUUUCCGAAGUAAACUGUUUUCAUUCCUAAAUUUAUUUAAUAAUUUUAAACCUCAAAAUUCACUCAUUUCUUUUUCUUUUUCUUUUUUUAUCAAAUCAAAAUCAUCAUGUCUCUUGUGUAAAGGAAACCUAUUAAAAAAACAUUAAAAAAAUUCUACUAAUUAUAAUAUAAUUACAAAAUAUUUCUUUUCCUAUUUUUGAAAAUAGAAGCGAAAGCAAAAUUAAAAUGCAACCUGAGGAUAUCACCACAGUUGAAGAAUACUCUAGUAAGAGGCCUAGUAGGAAGGAAAUUUUGUAAGUAGUCCCCCAUAAAACAUCCCAAGAUGAUAUUAUUUUAUUGGAAAUAUAUCUUAAAGUCAGUACUGACGAUCGCUAUUUACGCAUGAAUUUGUAUUUAUGAACAAAUCUUAAACACUUUGUUUUAGUUGAUAAAUCAUUGCAUGCACCAUAAGAUUCAUAAAACACCUUGAGAUGAUGUAAAUUCUAGUGUGACUGUAGAGGAAGGUUGUCCUUAAUAUUAGCUCCCCUCCAUAGGCCAACUUUGAAUCUUCAUCGAUAGAAAACCUUACAACAUUAAGGUGAUUUUCUUUUUUCUUUUUUUCAUUUUUGACACUCUAUAGUUUUCUUCAAAUUACUGACAACGCCAAAGUAGUCUUUAGACUCUAUUCAAGCAAUAUAGAAAAUAUGUGAAACUAAUCAACCUUAGUAAUUGUUAAAAAUAAUUUUAUUCUUUUAAUUUAUAUAUUCUACUAUAUAUGCAUGUGUCCCUUUCAAGCUAAACCUAUGCCAACUUCCAAUAAUUACUCUCCAUUUUGAUAUAGAGUACAAAACAUGUUAUUAUGUAUGAGGCAUUAAUCUAUGAAAUAAAAGUAAAAUUAAUGUAAAAAUCCUAAUGAUGAUCAACACACAACCAUUUCAUUGAAAGUGGUAAAUGUAUCUAUGUUCAAACCCUACUAGCUUUAUCUUAGGAGUUAAAAGGAGUAGAUGCAAGCACAAUAGAGCAACAUAAUUGUUUUAGUAGAAGCACGUGUCUCCUUCAAAGCUAUGUCCAUAUUUUCAUAGUUGUCUAUUCAAAUAGGAUUUCCUUUCUCUUUCUAACAUUGAUGAAUAGCUUGUAAAGAUUUUUAAAAUAAAAAAUUAUACUCCCAAAUCACCCGUUAUCUUAUAUUUUUUGUCAUAUUUAACAAUAUUGAUGUCUUAAAUGUGAAAAUUGAAAAAUUAUCAAAAAAAUGUUUUUUAUUUUGCUACUAUCAAAUAUCUUUUUCUAGUUUUAAAAGGAGAAUAAACAUAGGAUUACAAAAUAUAUUUUCUAAUUGGGUUAUUGCAAUAGUGAUGAAGGAGAAUGCAACUAAUUAAAGAAUCCACUUAAUGCAAUCCACUCGACCAAAUGCAUCCCACUUGCCCUUCUUUUUAUAUGCUUUAAAUACCAAUUUGUUCGGAAAUUAAAAUUUUAUUUGAAGUAAUUUUAAAACUCACAAGUCAUCCAUAUCUUAUUCUUUUUUAUGGCCAAAUCAAGAAACUUAGUAUUUUGCAUGUAAAGAUUAGAAAGUGGUCAAAACUCAUAAAAAAAAAUUAUUAAAUUAUUUUCUUUUUAUUGUUAUAUAUAUAAUCACCAAUAUAUUUAUCUAUUUUUAAAAAAUAGAAAUAAUACUAGAACUAAAUAAGGAAGAUAUUAAUAUUUUUAAAAGUUAAAAAAUGUAAUUAAAAUUUUAUUUAUACCUUGUACUUUUAAAAAUAGUAAAAAUAGAAUUAUGAAUACAUAUUUUUCUCAUUUUCGGUAAAAAUCACUAGUAUCAAGAAACUUAUGAAUACAUAUUUCUUCCUCUUUUUCCUUUUUAGUGUUUUGUUCAUCUUUUCUAUUUGAUUAGCCUAUUUGGUGAAUGUCACUAAUUAUAAUUUAUUUCUUAAGUUGUAAUUGGUCCAUUUUUCUUCUCAUAUUUCAAUUAGCUAAUUAACAUGAUUUCUAUUCAUCUCAUAGUGAACCCAACUAGCUAGUAAGUGGAAUUCCAAACAUAAAUCAAUCUCAAAUAUUAAUGUUGAUAAAGACUAGUUAUCUAUCAUGUCAAAAUAGUAGAAGUAUCUUAAGUCCCUACCACCCUUAUCAAGAUGUAUGUGUUAAUAUCCUCCAAACUUUGCCAAUUAAAAUAGGAGGUGAAAGUAUAUCAAAACAAAGCAAGUGUUUUUCUAGAAAUGAAUAGUCCCUUUCCACUUAGGUUUACAUUCCUUAGUGGACCCAACUAUCUAGUAAAUGAAAUUCCAAACAUAAAUCAAUAUCAAAUAUUAAUGUUAAUAUAGACUAGGUAUAUAUCAUAUCAAAAUGGUCAAAAAAUAGUCUUUCAAAAUAAUUUUUAAAAACAAUUAUCAAUUGGGAAAAAGUUUUCCUAAUUUAUUCUCAUAUAAUACAAUAAUUUCUAAAGUAUUUUUCAUAUUUUUAAUUAUUUAUUACAAUACUUGACAAAAAAGAAAAUUUUUAAAUAUCUAGAAACACUUUAAAUUCAUUUUGAAAAAUAACUUAUUUUAUAACAAAUUUUUAAAAAAUCAUUUUCAAAAAAAAAAUUGAUAAAUAUAUUUUCUAAGUUGGAAAUGUAUUUUGUAUUUCAAAAAAUAGAAAACUAGUUUUAAAUGGGUCAUUAAUCAGGUUUUCUUCCCAGGGUAAAAAAUAAUAGUAGAGGGGAAGUGAUUUUUGACCAUUAAUAAAAUUAUUGUUAAACAUAUUCCAACCUAAACCUUUAAUAUUUAUAAGAAAAACAGUGAAAACUAUUGCUAGGAGAAUUACAAUUGUGUAACCAUACGAAUGAUCAAAUACUUUUACCCAUAAUUUUAUACAAUGUUUUGAUCAGAUACUCUUGCCAACAGUUUUUUUUUAUGUGUCCUAAGUUGUCACUCGACAAUUGAUCUUGCAAAAAUAAUGUGAACACUAUUGUGAACCCGUAUUUUUCACAUGCAUCCCUACUCUAUAGCAAAACUUAGAAUUUAUGAAAAAUGUUUCAUGUUUUUAAAAACUCAUUUUAUUUGAGUUUUGGAAUUGGCAUUUAUUUUAUUAAUUUUUUUUUUAAAAAAAAAGGUAAAACAAAAUAAGAAAAAAAAAAUCGUGUAUAACUCCUUAUUUGAAAAAGACAAGUCCAUUAACCAAAAAUGGAUUUGAGGGUCAAGUUACAUAUCUAGAAGGUAUGAGGAUGAGCCUUUGCACACCUCUAAACCCGUAUAAUUAAUUAAUUAGUGGAUACAAAAGAAAUCAAGAAACCUAAUGUCUCACAUAUAGAGAUUGGAAAGUGGUGGAAAUUGAUCAUAAGAAAAUUAGUAAAAAAAAUUCUUUUUAUUAUUGUUUAUUAAUCAUCAAUAUAUUUUUCUAUUUUUAUAAACAAAAAUAAAACUAAAAUUAAGGAAGAUAUUAAUAUUUUUUUAAAUUAACAAACGUAAUUAAAAAAUUAUUUAUAAUUCUAAUUCUAAAAAUAAUAUAAACCAAUGUAUGAAUAUAUAUUUCUUCUUCUUUUUCCUUGUUGGUAUUUUCUUUUUCUUUUCUAUUUGAUUGGUCUAUUAAAUGAAUUUCACUAAUUAUUAUUUAUUUCUUAAAUAGUAAUUGGUCCACUUUUCUCUCAUAUUCAAAUUAGCUAAUUAACUUGAUUUCCAUGUAAGGACCCUAUUAGUGGCAUUUCAAAUAUAAAUCAAUAUCAAAUAUUAAUGUUGAUAAAGACAAUUAUCUACCACAUCAGUAUCAAGUAUUAAUGUUGAUAAAGACUAGUUAUCUACCACAUCAAAGUGGCAAACAUAUCUUAAAACCUUACCGCCUUUGUCAAGAUGCUCCAAGCUUUGUCAUAGGAUUUAAAACACCAAGUGGAAGUAUAUUAUAACAUAACAAUUAUUUGUGUAGAGAUGAGUAGUCCCUUUCAACUUAGGUUCACAUUCAUAGAUAUCUUGAAUAGAUUAUGUUUAUAUUCAAAGAUAUUUUAUGUACAAUAUUGAUUAUAAUUUUGUAAGUUAUAUGUAUAUACUUUUAUUUUAAUGUGAUAGUAAAAUUUAAAAAGUAAAGGUAUCAUUUUUUUUCAUUCCUAAAUUAAUUAACAUAAUUUCAAAACUUACAAUUCACUCAUAUCUUAUUUUUUUCUGUAGAAUCAACAUUAGCAAUGUCUCUUGUGAAAACUUUGGAAAAACUGUGGAAACCUAUUAAAAAAUCAUUAAAAAGAUAUUUGACAUUUUAAAAUUUUUUAAAUAUGUAUAACUAAAAGAUUAUUUGUAUUUUACCUUUAAAAUAUGUAUAUCUAAAUGCAACCUAGGAUAUCACCACAAUCAAAAAAUGUUCUAGUAGAAGGAAAUUUCAUUGUGAAAGCAGUAUCAUUCAAACAUCAUCCAUAUACACACCUCUCCAUGGUGUUCUACAAUUAGUGUAAGAAAAAGAAGGAAAAACAGGAAAGGGUAAAUUUAGUAUGGUAGAAGGAUUCGUAAAUUAGGUGAGAAUAAUGCCUUUGGAUCAAAGAGUUACUCCUUAAUUUAGGGAAAUGCACCCAGGGGCUUAAUAUUUUUAUGGCUGGUGAAGAUGAAAAGUGGAGACUGGAGAAUGUAUUUAUUCAUUGUAAAAAAACAAAAAGCAUGUUUUUCCCUGAUUACUAAUUGUAAUCGGAAACUUGUUAGUAAAAGCAUAAACAAUAGGUAAGACUUAAGCAUGUUUAAAAUGAUUUACAUCAAUGUCAAAGAUUCACAAAUUUUUUCCAUACAAAAUCCCGACUGAUGGUUACCGAUAAAGGAAAAGCUGGAACAAAAAGGAAAAGCAAGAAGACUACAAUCAUGUAUUUGGUGGUAACUUCAAGCGAUGAAGAAGGAUGUAGCACAGCUUGCAGCCCGUCAACGAAUGCUGUCACCAUUACAGCCAUCGCAGCCAAGGUGAGAACAUAGCCGUACAAUAAGUAUGCGUGGACGGUCUUCUUAUUUUCUAUGGGGAAAGAGGCAAGGAAGUAAAUACCAAUUGCACACAUAGAAAGUACCAUGGCUAUGCUAUCUUCCAUGACAAAAUUUCUGAAACUUUCCGUUGCUGCACUUGCCAUGUCUCCGUCCUUGCCCAGGGUGCCAUCUGUUGGGAGCGAUAAGACUGCCAUGCCCUGGGUAACGCCCUUGUCCGGAAUGUAACCACCAGGCAGUGUGAAACCUGCCGUGAAGGUUACAGUUGCUAUGAGUGCCGCCACUAUCAUAUGGCUUUUCAUUGUUUUCUUCAUUUCAGAUAUUUCUUUACUUUCUUCACUUCCUUUGUUUUCAGAUAUUUCUUUGCUUCCUUUGCUUUCGCUGCUAUUCAUGUCUUCCUUGACCUCUAGCGAACCCAAGGGUCUGAUCCCAACUCUGAAACUUGGACUCCGUCUCUGAAAUUGUAAAAUGUUUAGAGAAACAUGGAUAGAGAUUUGAUUUGAAGGGGUGAAAGAAUCAUCCUAAUUCUUGUAAAAGAAGAAAAAUAAUAUAUUUGCUAACAUAAAAUUACCAGAAACUGCAUUUUUAUUGUUCUUCUCUCACAUAAAAACAUAUUUUUGAAUAAAAGCAUAUGAAGGAUGGUUGUCAGAUGUAAUAUCUAUAUAAUUAAAAUACAGAAACACGAAAAAAAUAUAUAUAUAUAAUUAAAAUUAAUUAAAAAAAAUUAUGUAUUUUUGGAUGUCAAAUGGGUAACAUAGGAAAUCGAAAAUUUUGACGACCUUACCCUUAAUCUCGCGAAGGUGUCCAAUAUCCACGUCAACAUCCUCUUCGGAGGUGGGAAGUAGUCGACAUCUUUAGACAAGGGAGAAUUGUGAAACAGGUAGAGGGGCGUCUUUCCUUCAGCAUUCUUCUCGUUCAUGAGUCCUCUCAUCCUUAACGGGGGAAUAUUUGACAAACCCGAAGUUACAAAUAUUUUUUUUGGCAUUAUAAAAUGAAGAACAUUAUUGCCCUCAUCAUCAACUUUCUCGCAACAAUCUGGAAAGCGUGACACCAGCUCUUUCACUACAUCCACAUGGCCUCGGCUUGCUGCAAUGUGAAGAGCUGUCUUGUUUCCAUGGUCUUUGACGCCUAGGUGGACAAUACUGCUGUCACAUUUCUCUAGCAAUUGCCUCACUAUUGUUGGAUGACAACCCACAUAUGCAGCAAAGUGAAGGGGAGACCACCCAUUUUUAUCCAAUUCUUUAGUUAAAGCAGGUUUCCAUUUCAGCAUCUUCUUUGUCAUUGCUGAUAAAAUCAACAAAUGAGAGAAAAAAAAUGAUUUAAGAAAAUUAAGAAAAUAAAUUAAGUCUCCUCUUGUAAUGUGAUUCGACCAUUAAAUAAAAAUGGUGCAUCCUCCACUACGUACCUUUGUUAUUGAGAAUUACCGCAGCAUGCAAAGCCGUUCGACCCUUGAUGCCACUAUGAGCUGGUGAAGAGUACUUGUCUAGGAUCAUCUGCACCAAGUCUCCGAAUCCCCACUCAGCAGCGAUGUAAAGAGGAGUAUUGCCUUCAGCAUUAGCACCAUAGGCAAAGUCGGGGUCAUCCUGAAUCAAUAACUUCACCACCUCAGGGUGAUGAUUUCUCACUGCCUCGUGCAAGGCUGUGUCUUUGUCGUUAUUGAUCAUCCUCAGAAUUACCGUACAAUCUGCUACAGCCCCUCUUUCUGUGUCUCCUUCUCCAAGUUUUUUGGCAGCGUCAAUCAGAUUUUUCACCACUUUCCAGUGCCCUUCCCUGGCUGCAAGGUGAAGUGGUGUGUCACCUUUCUCAUUGGGCUGUUGCAAUAGCGAUGAAGGAGAACCCAACCCAAGGAUCCACUCAACGCAUUCCGCUUGACCGAACUGGGCUGCAACAUGGAGAACAGUGUUCUUCUUUGGGGUUAGUUUGACUUGAAUAUCAUCUUUACGAGCGUUAAGGGCAUGGGUGUCACCAUCUGCUGCAGCCACGUACAAUUUAGGAUCCAUGAUUGUGAUCUUGGUCAGGCUGCCAUCUUCAGCUGCAGCCAGGUUGGUGAUCUCGAUUUCCCUAGCAUCUUCAGCUGCAGCCUGGUUGGUGAUCUGAAUUUCCCUAGCACCUUCAGCUCCAACCUGAUUCGACUCUGUAUUCAAGUUAAGGCUGGAAGUAGUGGGAUCGGCCAUUGUU